AUCCGACACGGUUCACAGAGGGGAAACAUGUGUAACAAUGCACCCAGUUGUUGUUUGCAAGGCGUAUGUUAUGUCAGACACUAUCACAACAGUGCGGGAAAACUAAAUGUGUGUGAAUGUCUACCUAUUGUACACGGUUUAUAAUCAUGAACUGUUUGGGAUGUGCCAGGCAUCGUAAACGUAGAGCCAGUUUGGUACGUGCCUAGAAAACUCCCGUGUCUGUAAUCUGCCUGGUUUUAGGUAAAACCACAAAACUCCGACCGCGAUGGCAAUGCGAGCACAAACGAGUAGCAAGGAUGAAGCGUUUCAGAUAUUCAAGACAUCGGAAACGGUUAUAUAGGGGCAACUGUAUGCAUCAAGGCUCCCUAUCUCGACGGUUUCUGGGUCGUGUGUGAAGGACCCCCCUAUCACCCACACUCACUUGGCGACGGUUCCAAAUGCCGUCGCAGAAAGGGGUUAAAAACCGUUUGUAUACCACCUCGAUGUACCAGUGCCUUGAACUUGUCGAAAAACCAUUUGCGACAAGUCGAGCUUUGUAGACAUUAACAUUACCAUCAACUCCAGUCUUCUUCUUUAAGAUCCAUUUAUUCUCUGUGGGUCGCCGAUCAUCGGGUAAAUCCACCAAAGUCCACACUUUGUUCUCAUACAUGGAUCCUAUCUCAGAUUUCAUGGCCUCAAGACAAUUAUCGGAAUCUGGGAUCAUCAUAGCAUCUUCAUAGUUUGUAGGUUCGCCAUGGUCUAGUAACAUGAAUUCUAGAACAGGAUUACCAUACCACUUUGGUGUCGAACUUGUUCUGGUUGACCUUCGAGGUUCGGUAGUAACUUAAUCUGAAGUUUCAUGAUCAUCAUCAUUAGCUUCCUCUUUAGUUGGUGUAGGCAUCACGGGAACAGAUUUCUCGGAUGAGCUACUUUCCUAAUUGAGAGAAGGUACAAUUACCUCACCAAGUUCUACUUUCCUCCCACUCACUUCUUUUGAGAGAAACUCAUUCUCUAGGAAGGUUCCAUUCUUGGCAACAAAGAUCUUGCCUUUGGAUAUGUGGUAGAAGGUGUACCCAAUUGUUUCCUUAGGGUAUCCUAUGAAGAUGCACUUCUUCGAUUUGGGUUCGAGCUUAUCAGGCUGAAGCCUUUUGACAUAAGCAUCGCAUACCCAAACAUUAAGAAAUGACAGCUUAGGUUUAUAGCCAAAGCACAGUUCAUACGGUGUCAUCUCAACGGAUUUAGAUGGUGCCCUGUUUAACAUGAAUGCAAUUGUCUCUAAUGCAUAACCCCAAAACAAUAGUGGUAAAUCGGUAAGAGACAUCAUAGAUCGCACCAUAUAUAAUAAAGUACGGUUAUGACGUUCAGACACACCAUUAUGCUGUGGUGUUCCAAGUGGCGUGAGUUGUGAAACUAUUCCAUAUUGUUUUAAAUGAAGGCCAAACUCGAAACUCAAAUAUUCGCCUCUGCGAUCAGAUCGUAGAAACUUUAUUUUCUUGUUACGAUGAUUCUCCACUUCGUUCUGAAAUUCUUUGAACUUUUUAAAUGUUUCAGACUUUUGUUUCAUUAAGUAGACAUACCAUAUCUGCUCAAAUCGUCUGUGAAGGUUACGAUACCGAUCGCGAGCCUCAACACUCAUUGGACCGCAUACAUCGGUAUGUAUUAUUUCCAAUAAGUCAUUGGCUCACUCCAUUGUUCUGGAGAACAGAGUUUUGGUCAUCUUGCCCAUGAGGCAUGGUUUCGCAAGUAUCAAAUGAUUCAUAAUCAAGUGAUUCCAAAAGCCCAUCAGCAUGGAGUUUCUUCAUGCGCUUUACACCAAUAUGACCUAAACGACAGUGCCACGAGUAUGUUGCACUAUCAUUAUCAACUUUGCAUAUUUUGGCAUCAAUAUUAUGAGUAUGUGUAUCACUACGAUCGAGAUUCAAUAAACCAUUAACAUUGGGUGUAUGACCAUAGAAGGUUUUAUUCAUGUGAACAAAAUAACAAUUAUUCUCUGUCUUAAAUGAAUAAUUGCAUUGCAAUAAACACGAUCCUAUCUUGUUCAUGCUCAACGCAAACACCAAAUAACAUAACGGUCAAAAUUAUCCUUAGUUACCUAAGAGGACUAAGGAAAUGUUUCUCGGUUAUGGAGGUGAUAAAGAGUUCAUCGUAAAGAGUUACGUCGAUGCAAGCUUUGACACUGAUCUAGAUGACUCUAAGUCUUAAUCUAGAUACAUAUUGAACAUGGGAGCAAUUAGCUAGAGUAGCUCCAUGCAGAGCAUUGUAGACAUAUAAAUUUGCAAAAUACAUACGGAUCUGAAUGUGGCAGACCCAUUGACUAAAUUUCUUCUCACAAGCAAAACAUGAUCACACCUUAGUACUCUUUGGGUGUUAAUCACAAAACGAUAUGAACUAGAUUGAUGCGGAGCAUCCUACGGUCAUCCCCAUGGACACUAAUUCGACUACUCAAGCUCCAAGUGGACCCAUGAAAAGAUCUCGAGCACGUGCUAUUCAAUCUAAGGUUAACUCUCUCCUUGUUGAACUUCCCUUUGACCCACUUGAGACAUGGCUACUACCUGAGACGGAGAUGCUUUGUGUGCUUAGGUACCAAGAAAGCAACCAAGGAGAAGUUACGAUGCAAGAUGAACAUCAAGAGCAUGGAGAGGGAUUUUCCCAGCACAGAGAUAGAGGUACAGCCGGUUAACUACCCGGCAACUACCGGUCCAUCGGUACUACAGCGCAACUACCGGUCAACCUUCUGUAAUCAAAUGGUACAAGGCCGGUAUCGCCCCGGUUUAUACAGGUAACUGCCGAAGACCGUUACUACCGCCCCAACCACCGGUACUACCGCUAAUCCCUUCCGAGAACACCUCCAGGAAGCAGCACCUGAGCUCCUAGCAGUACAACCGCCCCCAAGACCGGUACUACUGCUCUGCCUGCGCGCAGUAAAAGGGUCAAUGACCCGUGUAACCCCCAACUUACCCCUUGCACUAUAAGUACUCGUUCCCUAGCUCCGAAUUAGGGUUAGCAUUGUGAUAGCUCAUUUGAGAUAGAGCUUUGCUCAUCCAUCUAGAUCUACUGCACCAUGAGGGACCGACACCUCUUCGGAGAAGAUCCACUUGGAUUCAAGACCUCCUCUCGGAGAAGACCAUCUUCAAGACCUCCUCACGGAGAAGAACCGGUUACCCUAUGCAUCAUCCCUUGUUGGAUUCAGAUCUUGUACCCUUUUGUGUUUCGAGGAUCUAGCACAUGUGUGACCUUAUUCCUGUUGGUUGAGUGUUUUUCUUGUGUUUCCCUCGUGUUCCCCUCGUUUCCCUUCUCAUGUUCUUCGUGUUCUUGGUAGGAUUCUCUCCAAACAUGAAAGAUCGUCAUCUAGGGUUCCACCCUACAUCAUCUUGGUAUCACGAGCCACAUUGAUCACGUUUUUGGAGCCCCUACCCUUUGUUUUCUAGCUUGAUUUUGUUGUUUUUGUCCUAAUCCGAAAAUCCCCACCAAAAAUAGCCCCAAAAGUUUUUGUGAUUUGUUAGUGUGAUGAAGUUUUAUUGGAUUUGAUCCAUGGAUUUCGUGUGUAGUAGGUAGAUCUAGCUUCCCCACAAGUUCCCCACUUUCCAUCCACUAAAUCCAUCCAAUUUGGCCCCUAAAAUCAUCCUUUUCCGCCACAAAAUCGCCUAGUUCCAGGUUUCCCGACUCCAGCGAUACUUCCGCCCUCCAAAACCGGUACUACCGCUGAGCUCUAGGACCGGUACUACCGCCCCCCAAAGCAGUACUACCGCCCUUCCCAGUUUCUGCUUCGGCUGUUUAACAGCUUUACACAUAACUUCCACAUCCGGAGUCUGAUUUUUGCGUUCUUUAGCUCGUUGAGAAGCUAUUGACAUCCCCCAUCCACCUAGAUAUGUUCCAACAUCAAUAGACACCAUCAAAUUUUCCAAACCUUGGCAUCUUUGCCUAGGGCUUUCACCACAUCAUCCACUAUACCACCACCGCUUUCCGCUACCACCAUUUGUUUUUGGUCUUUGAGAAUUUGAGUUGUGGUUCCCGUGUCAUAUUGUGUUUCGGCUAUAUAGGUACGGUUCGACGUCAACAUGACCACCGCUCAUCUUCGCAAAGGACUCAUCAUCGCCAAGAACGGUAACCUUGACAACAUUUUUGUCAUUCCCUUGCCAUUGCAUUGAUAACCACAUGGACUUACUUUUGCGUUAAUUACCCAUCGAGACUAGCCUUUGAGUAUUUCCGGCAACGUGACUUGUGCACAUUAGUGAUCAUACUUCCCAUAGCAUACAUACCAUAUCAUAGUGGUGCAUAUCUUGGUAUCAUCUUUGGUGUCACAAAGUUGUCAUCGCAUACACAAUUGUUAUCUUGGUUCAUGAAGUUUUGCAUGAGAAAAGAGCUCAAAAGAGAAAGAGCCAAACAAGCUUUUAAGCAAAGAGGGAAAGAUAAGCAAAGAGCUUAUAAGCAAGAACCAUAGCAUCAUACUACAUUAAGAUUGUCAUAUCCGAUCAUCUUGGAUCAUCCCAUCGGAAUACCAUACAUAUAGCAUACUUGGGAUAGAAGUCGUUGCAUUUUUGCCUAGUAGGUUGUGCACAAGUUCCGUAUCCGCCUAUUGUGCAAUCGUGCUAGCGUCUCUCUAGUGUUGUGCAACAACAACAUUUUCGUUGUCCACAUUUUGGCUCAUCCCUUGGUUGCACGACCCCACUUAUCUAUUUGCGUGUGUGUUUCCGUGUACCAUAUCUUGCUAUUGGUCUACUUGUUGCAUUUGCAAAUUUGUGAAUAUUUUCCAACAUUAUUGAGGCCCACUAACAAUUGCAUCAAAUUUGUGCCACCAUCCUAACCAAGCUCCACCAUAAGCUUUUACUUGUGUAGGUGUGAGAACCGACAAGAAUUGGUACCAGUUAUGCUAUUUCCCUGUCCACAUUUGAGUGAUCAUUGACCCAUCUUCAACAUCGGUCAAGGUACAUUUGGUAUAAGUUCUUCUCUUUCUCCCACUCACAUAUUUUGCUUGGAAUGAUGGAUAGGCCAAGUUCUUCUACCAACCCACUCUUCAUCGAGCAAGAUGAUGACAUGUCAUCCUAUUUCACCAAGAGCCACCUCUUCGGUGCACAAAGAGCUUUCCACCAAGAACAACAAGCAAUGAGCGACCGCAUCGACAAUCUCGCCACCGACUUGCGACUCUCCGAGCAACGUACAAGAGACUACUUUGACAACAAGCUCGACGCUCACAAACAAGAGAACGAUGCAAGAAUGGACGAGAUUCGUGCUUUGUUGGUGAACCACCAUUCUUCCACUUCUUCCUACUCAAGACGGAGCCGUUCAAGUCGACACACCACGACACCUUCUCCGGCUCAAGUACACCGACAUCGAACACUCUACGUCGAGCCGCCCGUCAAGACCGUCAAGCAUCUCGCAACCCUCUAAACGGCAAUCAUCCACAAGAGCAAGCCGGCAAGCAAGCACAUCAUCUUCGUCAACACCAAGUUCCUCUUGCACAAGCUUAAGAACAACACCGUCAACGUCAGCAAGAGGAAGAGCGAGAGCGACAACAUCAAGAUGAACAAGACGCCGAAGCUCAACGUCUUCAACAACAAAAACAACAACAUGAAGACUAAGCUCUUGAGGCGCAACAUGCCCUUAAAGAAUCAAGUCGAGCCAUUGCCAAACGCAACCGAGAUAGGCGCUAUCAACAGGAAGCACUUCGCGAAGAAAUUCAAGAGUGGAAUUACCAACCAAGAGUGCAACGUCAAGUUCCUCAAGCUCCUCCACAAGCUCGACAAGCUCCUCAACAACCUCAAGUUCAACAAGAGCAAGAUGACUAUGGAGAUCCUCCACGCCAAGAGCAACAUGAGGUUGAUUAUCCUCCACGUCAAGGGCAUCAUCAUCACCCUCGACCCCAACACAAUGAAGAGCAACGCUACAGCAAGCUAAAGUUCACCAUGCCCAAGUUCAAUGGAAGCAAUGAUCCCGAAGAGUACCUAUCAUGGGCAUUGAAGGUCAACAAAAUCUUUCUUUUGCACAACUAUGAGGAAGAGAAGAAGAUCACUAUGGCAUCACUUGAGUUCCAAGACUAUGUGCUCAUAUGGUGGGAACAAGUCCUUGAGCGCCGAGAAGCAAGAGGUGAACCACCAAGCACCACUUGGGCUCAAAUGAAAGAUGUCAUGCGAGCACACUUUGUGCCCACCUACUACAACCGCGAUCUCUUCAAGAAGCUCCAACUCCUCAAGCAAGGAACAAAGAGUGUUGAAGAAUACUACAAGGAAAUGGAGAUAGCCAUGAUAAGAGCCAAUGUUACGGAAGAUGAUGAGCAAACUAUGGCACGUUUCUUGAAUGGCCUCAAUCAUCCCAUCAAGAAGAUUGCCGACUUCUAACCCUAGUCCAACCUCAUUGAGCUCGUGCAUCAAGCUACCAAAGUGGAACAUCAAGUGAAAGAUGACUUUAAGUACGCCAAGUACUCGUCCAAGAGCUACGGCUUCUCCAACACCCAAGCUUCAACGACUCCUCCAACUCCUACCUCAACAAAGCCAUAUACAAGCAACAAUGACAAGUCGAGUUACAAGAAAGCUUCGACAACCUCAAGUCGUCCUCCUACUACAAGCAACUUCAAGCCGCGCGCUUCACCAUCUAAUCCAACCGAUGAGACCGUCAAAACAAGAUCCUUCAAGUGUUUCACUUGCGGCGGCCGAGGCCACAGAUCCUUUCAGUGUACCAACAAGUGCACCAUGAUCCUCAAUGAUGACGGAACCUAUGACUCCAUGAGUGAAGAGGAAAUGGAAGCCCUUGAGCAAGUGGCCAUGCACCGGUGAGUGAACGAAGAUGAAGAUGAUCAAGUCUUUUGUGAUGAGGAUUCGAGCCCCGCUCUCAUUGUCUUUAAAGUCUUGACUCUUCAACAUCAACAAGACAAAGACCAAAGAUGCCACAUCUUCCACACAAAGGCCGACAUCAAUGGAAGGUCUGUCAAGGUCAUCAUCAAUGGAGGUAGUUGUCACAACUUGGCAAGUGAAGAACUAUGCUCCAAGCUAUAAUUGGUCAAGAUGAAGCACCCACACCCCUACAAGGUCCAAUGUCUAAGCGAUUCCGGCACGAUACGAGUUGAGCAUACGGUCCAAGUCUCCUUCAAAAUUAGAGCAUAUGAAGACACUUUGAAGUGUGAUGUCGUCCCGAUGUCCGUUUGCCACCUCCUUCUUGGUCGACCAUGGCAAUUUGACCGCGGCAUCAUCCAAAACGGGCGUACCAACCACUAUAGCUUCAAUAUGAAAGGGAAGGAAUAUGUUCUACGACCUAUGUCUCCUAGUCAAGUGAUCGCCGACAAGCAAGCCACCCAUCAUGGAGAAAAGAGUGAGAGAGUGAUCCACCCAAAAGAGAGUGAGGGCCACAAGCUAAACCCGAGUGCCUCCACGAUGAGCGACAAGAAAAACUUCAUCCUAUUUGCCACCCAAAGUGAGAUGAGAGAAGUGUGUGCGAACCCAUAAAGUGUUAUGCACUAUGUCCUUGUGUGCAAGGACGAGGCACCAAAAACUAACACCUCUCAUGAUCUACCUUUAGUGUUGUCUUCUCUUUUGCAGGAAUUCCAAGAUGUUUUCCCCGAUGAGCUACCUCCGGGUCUACCUCCACUAUGAGGCAUGAGCAUCGAAUUGACCUCAUCCCCGGAGCACCUCUUCCUAACAAGGCUCCCUACCGUGUCAACCCCGAGGAAACUAAGGAGAUCCAACGGGAGGUGCAACAACUAAUCGACAACGGUCAAGUACGUGAAAGUUUGAGCCCUUGUGCCAUUCCAGUCAUACUUGUUCCAAAGAAAGAUGGUACUUAUGAAUGGUUUCUAAUUGCCGUCCCAUUAAUGCUAUCAUCGUUAGAUAUCGUAUCCUAUUCCACGCUUAAAUGAUAUGCUUGAUGAGCUUAGUGGAGCCACCAUUUUCUCUAAGAUUGAUCUUAAGAGCGGCUACUAUCAAAUACGCAUCCAAGAAGGUGAUGAAUGGAAAACCGCAUUUAAGACCAAAUUGGGCUUAUAUGAAUGGCUAGUUAUGCCAAUGGGCUUAUCCGAAGCACCCGGUACUUUCAUGCGAGUCAUGCACUUUGUUCUUCGUCCCUAUAUUGGUGUAUUUGUUGUGGUAUAUUUUGAUGAUAUUCUUGUUUUUAGAAAAUCCCUCAAAGAGCAUGUCACCCAUCUUAGAACCGUGUUGCAAACCCUUAGGAAAGAGCGCCUUUAUGCUAAUGCAGAAAAAUGCCUUUUUGGUGUUGAUAAGCUUGUUUUCUUGAGUUUUGUUAUGUCUUCUAAGGGUGUUCAUGUAGAUGAAUCUAAGAUCAAUGCUAUUAAAACUUGGCCCCAACCAACCAGCUUGCAACAAGUGCAUAGUUUUCUUGAUUUAGCCUGUUUCUAUCGUUGUUUUGUGAAGGAUUUUAGCACCAUUGCUUCUCCUUUACAUUCCUUGAGUAAGAAAAAUGUGCCAUUUGUUUGGGGAUCAUCCCAAGAUACCACAUUUAAUGAGCUUAAGAAUUUGCUUACUCAUGCUCUUGUGCUUGCUUUACCCAACUUUGGCAAACCCUUUGAGAUUCAUUGUGAUGCUAGUGGUAAUGGCAUAGGAGGUGUGUUAACGCAAGAGAAGCGCCCCAUAGCAUACUUUAGUGAGAAACUUUCCAGAGCGCAAGUCAAUUAUCCCAUCUAUUACAAAGAGUUAUAUGCAUUAGUGCGAGUUUUGCGUGAAUGGGAACAUUAUCUUCGCCCUCAUGAAUUUAUCAUCCAUACCGAUCAUGAAACUCUUAAGUACUUAAAGGGCCAAACUAAGUUGAACAAGCGUCAUGCUAAGUGGAGUGAAUUCAUUGAGUCAUUUCCUUAUGUCAUCAAGUACAUCAAGGGUAAGGAAAAUGUAGUGGUGUAUGCCCUUUCCCGCAUAUGCACGCUUGUCACUAAACUUGAAUUAAAUGUCAUUGGCUUUGAGCACAUAAAAGACUUGUAUGCGCAUGAUCCUACCUUUGCUAUUCUUAUGCUAAGUGUUUGAAGCAUACAUCUUGGGAACAAUAUUACAUCAAGGAUGAUUAUCUUAUGAGAGCUAACAAACUUUGCAUUCCCGAGUCUUCUCUUCGUUUGCUCCUUUUGCAAGAGGCGCAUGGAGGCGGACUCAUGGGACACUUUGGUCGUGACAAGACAUUCGCUACGCUCUCCAAGAACUAUUUUUGGCCCAAGAUGUUCUGCGACGUCUCACGCUUCACCAACCGAUGCUCUACAUGUCGCAAAGCUAAAUCUAAAGCUCAAUCCCAUGGUCUUUACAUGCCCCUUCCUAUUUCUUAUCAACCUUGGGAAGACAUUAGCAUGGACUUUGUACUUGGUUUGCCUAGAACUCAAAAAGGAAAGGAUUCCGUGUUUGUUGUUGUGGACCUAUUCUCUAAAAUGACUCAUUUUAUUCCAUGCAACAAGAUAGACGAUGCUUCACAUAUCGCAAAUAUCUUUUGUAGGGAAAUCUUGCGCCUCCAUGGCGUCCUAAAGACAAUUGUCUCGGACCGCGAUGUCAAGUUCUUGAGUUACUUUUGGAAGACACUAUGCGCCAAGCUCGGAAUCAAGCUCUUGUUCUCUUUGGUAUACCAUCCCCAAACCGACGGCCAAAUGGAGGUGACGAACCAUACGCUCUCCACUCUACUAUGCGUGUUGAUAAAGAGGAACAUCAAGGAGUGGGAGGAGUGUCUACCCAUCGCUGAGUGCGCCUACAACCGAGCAAGACAUUAAACUACCGGCAAGUCCCCCUUCGAGGUCGUCUACGGCUUCAACCCGUUGUUCCCAUUGGACAUUCUACCUCUACUACUACAAGAGCGCACCAACAUGGAUGCGAGUGCCCGAGUGAACUACCUCAAGAACAUGCAUGAAGAUACAAGGCACACCAUCGAGCGCCAAGUACAACGACUCGAGACCAAGCUCAACAUCAACAAGCAACCCAUAAUAUUCAACAUUAGAGAUCUUGUGUGGCUACACCUUCGAAAGGAACGCUUCCCCAACGAACGCAAGUCCAAACUUCUACCACGAGCCGAUGGACCCUUCAAGGUGCUUGAAUGCUACAACAACAACGCCUACAAGAUUGACAGCCCACGUGACAAGUACUCCGUGAGCGACAUCUUCAACGUCAAUGAUCUCUCCCCGUACCAUGGUGAUGAGGAUUUCAAUCCGAGGUCGGAUCUUUCCCAAGGGAGGGGAGAUGAUGUGGACCAUCCUACGGUCAUCCCCAUGGACACUACUUCGACUACUCAAGCUCCAAGUGGAUCCAUGACAAGAGCUCGAGCAUGUGCUACUCAAUCUGAGGUUAACUCUCUCCUUGUUGAACUUCCCUUUAACCCACUUGAGACAUGGCUACUACCUCAAACGGAGAUGCUUUGUGUGCUUAGGUACCAAGAAAGCAACCAAGGAGAAGUUACAAUGCAAGAUGAACAUCAAGAGCAUGGAGAGGGAUUUUCCCAGCGCAGAGAUAGAGGUACAACCGGUCAACUACCGGCCAACUACCGGUCCACCGGUACUACCGCGCAAGUACCGGUCAACCUUUUGUAAUCAAAUGGUACAAGGCCGGUAUUGCCCCGGUUUAUACCCGUAACUGCCAAAAGACCGGUACUACCGCCCCAACCACCGGUACUACCGCUAAUCCCUUCCGAGAAAACCUCCGGGAAGCAGCACCUGAGCUCCUAGCGGUACAACCGCCCCCAAGACCGGUACUACCGCUCUACCUGCGUGCAGUAAAAGGGUCAAUGACCUGUGUAACCCACAACUUACCCCUUGGACUAUAAGUACUCGUUCCCUAGCUCUGAAUUAGGGUCAGCAUUGUGAUAGCUCAUUUGAGAUAGAGCUUUUCUCAUCCACCCGGAUCUACUCCACCGCGAGGGACCGACACCUCUUCAGAGAAGAUCCACUUGGAUUCAAGACCUCCUCUCGGAGAAGACCAUCUUCAAGACCUCCUCACGGAGAAGAACUGGUUACCCUAUGUAUCGUCCCUUGUUGGAUUUGGAUCUUGUACCUUUUUGUGUUUCGAGGAUCUAGCACAUGUGUGACCUUAUUCCCGUUGGUUGAGUGUUUUCUCUUGUGUUUCCCUCGUGUUCCCCUCGUUUCCCUUCUCGUGUUCUUCGUGUUCUUGGUAGGAUUCUCUCUAAAUGUGAAAGAUCGUCAUCUAGGGUUCCACCCUACAUCAUGGAUUAUUGACUCUAGUAAACCCUUUGUGUGUUGGUCACAUGGUGAUGUGAACUAUGGGUGUUAAUCACUUAAAAGUGAACUAUUGGUGUUAAAUCACAUGGCGAUGUGAACUAGAUUAUUGACUCUAGUGCAAGAGGGAGACUGAAGGAUAUACACCCUAGAGGCAAUAAUAAAGUUGUUAUUUUAUAUUUCGUUAUUUCAUGAUAAAUGUUUAUUAUUCAUGCUAAAAUUGUAUUAACCAGAAACUUGAUACAUGUGUGGAUACAUAGACAAAACACUAUGUCCCUAGUAAGCCUCUACUAUACUAGCUCGUUAAUCAAAGAUGGUUAAGUUUCCUAACCAUAGGCAUGUGUUGUCAUUUGAUGAACGAGAUCACAUCAUUAGGAGAACGAUGUGACGGAAAAGACCUGUCCGUUAGCAUAGCAUAUUGAUCAUUACGUUUUAUUGCUAUUGCUUUCUUCAUGUCAAAUACAUGUUCCUUUGACUAUGUGAUUAUGCAACUCCCGGAUACCGGAGGAAUGCCUUGUGUGCUAUCAAAUGUCACAACGUAACUGGGUGAUUAGAAAGAUGCUCUAUAGGUAUCUCCAAAGGUGUUUGUUGGGUUGACAUAGAUCGAGAUUAGGAUUUGUCACUCCGAGUAUCGGAGAGGUAUCUUUGGACCCUCUCGGUAAUGCACAUCAUAAGAAGCCUUGCAAGGAAAGUGACUAAUGAGUUAGUUGCAGGAUGAUGCAUUACGGAACGAGUAAAGAGACUUGCCGGUAACGAGAUUGAACUAGGUAUGAAGAUACCGACGGUCGAAUCUCGGGCAAGUAACAUACCGAUGGACAAAGGAAAUAACGUAUGUUGUCAUAACAGUUUGACCGAUAAAGAUCUUCGUAGAAUAUGUGGGAGCCAAUAUGAGCAUCCAGGUUCCGCUAUUGUUUAUUGACCGGAGAAGUGUCUCGGUCAUGUCUACAUAGUUGUCGAACCCGUAGGGUCGCACGCUUAACAUUCGUUGACGCUAGAGUAGCAUUGGGAUAUUUGAUGAGUGGUAACAAAAUGUUGUUCGGAGUCCCAGAUGAGAUCCUGGACGUCACGAUUAGUCUCGGAAUGGACGAGAGCUAAAGAUUUAUACAUAGGAAGUCAUAUUUUGGGUUCCGGAAAAGGGUGCGGAUUUUUCGGUAUUGUACCGGGAAGCUUCCAGAAGGUUCAGGAGGAUUCCGGAGGGGUCUGGAAGUCUGCAAGUGGGUUCACCACAACCCAAGGGCUAUCAUGGGCUGCGGGGAGGUGCCCUGGCCUUAUUGGGCUAGGCACACCAAGUCCUCAAAAUCACAUGUGGCUAGGGAAGGCAAAAAAGGAAGGAGUCCUAGUAGGAAUAGGAUUGAACUUGGAGUCCAAGUACUCUCCCCCUUAGCUGCGUCCUAGGGCUUGGAGGGGUUUUUUGCCAUGCCCCUCCACCUAUAUAUAGAGAGGAGGGGGCGCCCUGAUACGUCUCCAACGUAUCUAUAAUUUUUGAUUGCUCCAUGCUACUUUAUCUACUGUUUUGGACUAUAUUGGGCUUUAUUUUCCACUUUUAUAUUAUUUUUGGGACUAACCUAUUAACCGGAGGCCCAGCCCAGAAUUGCUGUUUUUUGCCUAUUUCAGUGUUUCGAAGAAACGGACGAAGUACAAACGGAAUGAAACCUUCGGGGACGUGAUUUUCUCACCGAACGUGAUCCAGGAGACUUGGAUCCUACUCCAAGAAGUGCUAGAGGCGGUCACGAGGGUGGAGGGCGCGCCCCCCUACCUUGUGGGCCCCCUGUUGCUCCACCGACAUACUCCUUCCUCCUAUAUAUACCUACGUAUCCCCGAAUGAUCAGAACAGGAGCCAAAAACCUAAUUCCACCGCCGCAACCUUCUGUAUCCACGAGAUCCCAUCUUGGGGCCUGUUCCGGAGCUCUGCCGGAGGGGGCAUCCACCACGGAGGGCUUCUACAUCAACACCAUAGCCCCUCCGAUGAAGUGUGAGUAGUUUACUUCAGACCUUCGGGUUCAUAGCUAGUAGCUAGAUGGCUUCUUCUCUCUUUUUGGAUCUCAAUACAAUGUUCUCCCCCUCUCUUGUGGAGAUCUAUUCGAUGUAAUCUUCUUUUUGCGGUGUGUUUGUUGAGACCGAUGAAUUGUGGGUUUAUGAUCCAGUGUUAUCUAUGGAAAAUAUUUGAUUCUUCUCUGAAUUCUUUUAUGUAUGAUUGAGUUAUCUUUGCAAGUCUCUUUGAAUUAUCCUUUUUGGUUUGGCCAACUAGAUUGGUAGUUCUUGCAAUGGGAGAAGUGCUUAGCUUUGGGUUCAAUCUUGCGGUGUUCUUACCCAGUGAUAGAAAGGGUUGCAAGACACGUAUUGUAUUGUUGCCAUCGAGGAUAACAAGAUAGGUUUUUUAUCAUAUUGCAUGAAUUUAUCCCUCUACAUCAUGUCAUCUUGCUUAAGGCAUUACUCUGUUUUUAACUUAAUACUCUAGAUGCAUGCUGGAUAGCGGCCGAUGAGUGGAGUAAUAGUAGUAGAUGCAGAAUCAUUUCGAUCUACUUGUCUUGGACGUGAUGCCUAUAUACAUGAUCAUUGCCUAGAUAUACUCAUAACUAUGCUCAGUUCUGUCAAUUGCUCAACAGUAAUUUGUUCACCCACUGUAGAAUACUUAUGCUCUUGAGAGAAGCCACUAGUGAAACCUAUGGCCCCCGGGUCUAUUCUCAUCAUAUCAAUCUCUGUCACUUUAUUUACUUGCUUUGUUUUCACUUUGCCUUUUACUUUUUUACUUUGCAUCUAUCUAUCAAAAAUACCAAAAAUAUUAUUUAUCAUCUGUAUCAGAUCUCACCCUCGUAAGUGAUCGUGAAGGGAUUGACAACCCCUAAUCGCGUUGGUUGCGAGUAGCUAUCAUUUUGUGUAGGUACGAGGGACUUGUGCGUGGUCUCCUACUGGAUUGAUACCUUGGUUCUCAAAAAACUGAGGGAAAUACUUACGCUACUUUGCUGCAUCAUCCUCUCCUCUUCGGGGAAAUCCAACGCGGUGCUCAAGAGUAGCAAGAAAGAAUUUCUGGCGCUGUUGUCGGGGAGGCUCACGCAAGCAAGUCAACUAUACCAAGUACCCAUCGCAAUCCCUAUCUCUCGCAUUACAUUAUUUGCCAUUUGCCUCUCGUUUUCCUCUCCCCCACUUCACCCUUGCCGUUUUAUUCGCCCCUCUUCCGUUCGAUCUUGUGUCUCCAUGUACCUUCUUUUUUGCUUGCAUCUUCACUUGCUAAAAAUUUAUGGAUCCUCAUCCACUUGCUAAUCUCUUUAAGAGAUCCAAUUAUGUUGAACCUAUUACUACUGAGUUGAGUGCACUAGAUUAUCUUAUGAGGUUUUGCUUGAAAUUCGUGAAUCUGAAAAUUAUGAUGAAGAAAUUUAUGAAGAGAUUCACGAUAACUCCUUGAAUAGAAAGCAUGAUUGCAAUGAUUUUCCUAUAAAUUCUCUUGAUGUCAAUUGUGCUAAAAUUAUGCAAAACCCUAAGCUUGGGGAUGCUAGUUUUGCUAUGUCUACUAUUUGUUGCAAUGAUCACGAUUGGGGUGAUUUUUCUAAUGAUCUUGAAAAUUUAUUUAAUCCCCAUGAUGAAUAUGAGAUUGAUAAUAUUGUUUGCAAUGAUAUUAAAAGUGGGUUUGGAAGAGUGUCAACUUUGGAUCCCACAUAUUUGGAGAAUGUUCAAUCUUAUGAAAUUUUUGAUGAAAGUGGGUUUGGAGAGGUCAUGACUUUAGUUAAUGAUAAUCCCACUAUUUUGGAAGAGUGUCAACUUCGCAUGCAUGUGGAUCGUGUUGAGAAUAUGUUAUGUGAUAGCUAUAUUGUUGAAUUUUCUUAUGAUCCUACAUGUAAAUAUUAUGAGAGAGGAAAAUAUGGUCAUAAAAAUUUUCAUGAUAAUAAAUUACCUCUCGUUAUGUUGAGAUUGCUAUUGUUUCUUUCCGCUUCCUUGCAUAUGCUAGUUUUUGCUUGUUAUGAUAAUUUGUUUGCCUAUAAGAUGCCUAAGCAUAGGAAGGAUGUUAUACUUAGAUGUGUUUGUCACGUGUUUCAUGAUGCUCUCUUUGUGCUUUAAUUCUUGUCUUUGAUGUGAGCAUCGUUAAAAUUAUCAAUGCCUAGCUAGGGGCGUUAAACGAUAGAGCUUGUUGGGAGGCAACCUAAUUUUAUUUUGUGUUUUUUUGUUUUUGCUUCUGUUUAGGAAUAAAUAAUCCAUCUAGCCUAUGUUUGGAUGUGGUUUUAUGUUUUAAUUAGUGUUUGUGCCAAGUAGAACCUAUAGGAUAACCUACGAUGAUAGUUGAUUUGAUUCUGCUGAAAAACAGAAACUUUGCACACACGAAUAUAAUUUUUUAAAAUCACAGGAACGUGCUUUUGCGUUGAUUAUUUUUUCUGCUGUUCAAUAAACAAAUUUUUCAGGACUUCCUAUUUUGGUAGAAUUUUUAGAGUUCCAGAAGUUUGCGUUAGUUACAGAUUGCUACAGACUGUUCUAUUUUUGACAGAUUCUGUUUUACGUGUGUAGUUUGCUUAUUUUAAUGAAUCUAUGGCUAGUAAAAUAGUUUAUAAACCAUAGAGAAGUUCGAAUACAGUAGGUUUAACACCAAUAUAAAUAAAUAAUGAGUUAAUUACAGUACCUUGAAGUAGUCUUUUGUUUUCUUUCUCUAACGGAGCUCACGAGAUUUCUGUUGAGUUUUGUGUUGUGAAGUUUUCAAGUUUUGGAUGAAUUCUUUUGAUGGAUUAUGGAACAAGGAGUGGCAAAAGCCUAAGCUUGGGGAUGCCCAUGGCACCCCCAAGAUAAUCCAAGGACACCAAAAGAUCAAAGCUUGGGGAUGCCCCGGAAGGCAUCCCCUCUUUCGUCCACUUCCAUCGGUAAUUUACUUGGAGCUAUAUUUUUAUUCACCACAUGAUAUGUGUUUUGCUUGGAGCGUCUUGUAUUAUUUGUUUCUUUGCUUGUUAGUUUACCACAAUCAUCCUUGCUGUACGCACCUUUUGAGAGAGCCAUACAUGAUUUGGAAUUUGCUAGAAUACUCUAUGUGCUUCACUUAUAUCUUUUGAGCGUGAUAAUUUUUGCUCUAGUGCUUCACUUAUAUCUUUUAGAGCAUCAUGGUGGAUUUGUUUUAAAGAAACUAUUGAUCUCUCAUGCUUCACUUAGAUUAUUUUGAGAGUCAUUAAUAGCAUGGUAAUUUUCUUAAUGUUAAUAUACUUGGUAUUCAAAAUAUGUGAAACUUUCUUUUGAGUGAAUUGAAUACUAAGAUAAGUUUGAUGCUUGAUAAUUGUUUCGAGAUAUGGAGGUGAUAAUAUCAAAGUCGUGCUAGUUGGGUGAUUAUGAAUUUGAGAAAUGCUUGUGUUCAAGUUUGCAAGUCCCGUAGCAUGCACGUAUGGUUAAAGUUGUGUAACAAAUUUGAAACAUGAAGUGUACCUGGCUUGUGCAUCCUUAUGAGUGGCGGUCGGGGACGAGCGAUGGUCUUUUUCUACCAAUCUAUCCCCCUAGGAGCAUGUGCGUAGUACUUGAUUUUUGAUGACUUCUUAAUUUUUGCAAUAAGUAUAUGAGUUCUUUUGAUUAAUGUUGAGUCCAUGGAUUAUACGCACUCUCACCUUUCCGCCUUUGCUAGCCUCUUCGGUACCGUGCAUUGCCCUUUUUCACCUUGAGAGUUGGUGCCAACUUCGCCGGUUCAUCCAAACCCCGUGAUACGAUACGCUCUAUCACACAUAAACCUCCUUAUAUCUUCCUCAAAACAGCCACCAUACCUACCUAUUAUGGCAUUUCCAUAACCAUUCCGAGAUAUAUUGACAUGCAACUUCCACCAUCAUCAUCAUGACAUACAUUACUAUUGUCAUAUUGCCAUUGCAUGAUCAUGUAGUUGACAUCGUAUUUGUGGAAAGGCCACCAUGCAUUAUUUUUCAUACAUGUCACUCUUGAUUCAUUGCACCAUCCCGGUACACCGCCGGAGGCAUUCAUAUAGAGUCAUAUCUUGUUCUAAGUUUCGAGUUGUAAUCCUUAUGUUGUAAUCAAUAGAAGUGUGAUGAUCAUCAUUAUUAGAGCAUUGCCCAAAAAAAGAGAGAAAGGCCAAAAGAAAAAAAAGAAAGGCCCAAAAAAAGAAAAUAAAUAAAAAGGGCAAUGCUACUAUCUCUUUUUCCACACUUGUGCUUCAAAGUAGCACCUUGUCCUUCAUGUAGUGAGUCUCAUAUAUUGUGCUUCAAAGUAGCACCUUGUUCUUCAUAUAGUGAGUCUCAUAAGUUGUCUUUUUAUACUAGUGGGAAUUUUUCAUUAUAGAACUUGGUUUGUAUAUUUCUACGAUGGGCUUCCUCAAAUGCCCUAGGUCUUCAUGAGCAACCGAGUUGGAUGCACACCCACUAGUUUUCUUUUGUUGAGCAUUCAUAGCUCUAGUGCAUCCGUUGCAUGGCAAUCCCUACUCCUCAUGUUGACAUCAAUUCAUGGGCAUCUCCAUAGCCCAUUGAUUAGCCUCGUCAAUGUGAGACUUUCUCCUUUUUUUGUCUUCUCCACACAAUCCCCAUCAUCAUAUUCUAUUCCACCCAUAGUGCUAUAUCCAUGGCUCACGCUCAUGUAUUGCGUGAAGGUUGAAAAAGUUUGAGAUUAUUUAAGUAUGAAACAAUUGCUUGGCUUGUCAUCGGGGGUAUAGAAGUUGGGAACAUCUUUGUGUGACGAAAAUGAAGCAUAGCCUAACUAUAUGAUUUUGUAGGGAUGAACUUUCUUUUGCCAUGCUAUUUUGAGAAGACAUGAUUGCUUUGAUUAGUAUGCUUGAAGUAUUAUUAUUUUUGUGUCAAUAUGAACUUUUGUCUUGAUUCUUUCGGAUCUGAAUAUUCAUAUCACAAUUAAGAAGUUUUACAUUGAAAUUAUGCCAAAGUAUCACUCCGCAUCAAAAAUUCUUUUUUAUCAUUUACCUACUCGAGGACGAGCAAGAAUUAAGCUUGGGGAUGCCUGAUACGUCUCCAACGUAUCUAUAAUUUUUGAUUGCUCCAUGCUACUUUAUCUACUGUUUUGGACUAUAUUGGGCUUUAUUUUCCACUUUUAUAUUAUUUUUGGGACUAACCUAUUAACCGGAGGCCCAGCCUAGAAUUGCUGUUUUUUGCCUAUUUCAGUGUUUCGAAUAAACGGAAUAUCAAACGGAGUCCAAACGGAAUGAAACCUUCGGGAACGUGAUUUUCUCACCGAACAUGAUCCAGGAGACUUGGACCCUACUCCAAGAUGUGCCAGAGGCGGUCACGAGGGUGGAGGGCGCCCCCCCUGGGCGCGCCCCCUACCUCAUGGGCCCCCUGUUGCUCCGCCGACAUACUCCUUCCUCCUAUAUAUACCUACGUAUCCCCGAACGGUCAGAACAUGAGCCAAAAACCUAAUUCCACCGCCGCAACCUUCUGUAUCCACGAGAUCCCAUCUUGGGGCCUGUUCCGGAGCUCCGCCGGAGGGGGCAUCCACCACGGAGGGCUUCUACAUCAACACCAUAGCCCCUCCGAUGAAGUGUGAGUAGUUUACUUCAGACCUUCGGGUCCAUAGCUAGUAGCUAGAUGGCUUCUUCUCUCUUUUUGGAUCUCAAUACAAUGUUCUCCCCCUCUCUUGUGGAGAUCUAUUCGAUGUAAUCUUCUUUUUGCGGUGUGUUUGUUGAGACCGAUGAAUUGUGGGUUUAUGAUCCAGUAUUAUCUAUGGAAAAUAUUUGAUUCUUCUCUGAAUUCUUUUAUGUAUGAUUGAGUUAUCUUUGCAAGUCUCUUCGAAUUAUCCUUUUUGGUUUGGCCAACUAGAUUGGUAGUUCUUGCAAUGGGAGAAGUGCUUAGCUUUGGGUUCAAUCUUGCGGUGUUCUUACCCAGUGACAGAAAGGGUUGCAAGACACGUAUUGUAUUGUUGCCAUCGAGGAUAACAAGAUGGGGUUUUUAUCAUAUUGCAUGAAUUUAUCCCUCUACAUCGUGUCAUCUUGCUUAAGGCAUUACUCUGUUUUUAACUUAAUACUCUAAAUGCAUGCUGGAUAGCGGUUGAUGAGUGGAGUAAUAAUAGUAGAUGCAGAAUCGUUUCGAUCUACUUGUCUUGGACGUGAUGCCUAUAUACAUGAUCAUUGCCUAGAUAUACUCAUAACUAUGCUCAAUUCUGUCAAUUGCUCAACAGUAAUUUGUUCACCCACCGUAGAAUACUUAUGCUCUUGAGAGAAGCCACUAGUGAAACCUAUGGCCCCCGGGUCUAUUCUCAUCAAUAUCAAUCUCUGUCACUUUAUUUACUUGCUUUGUUUUUACUUUGCCUUUUACUUUUUUACUUUGCAUCUAUCUAUCAAAAAUACCAAAAAUAUUAUUUAUCAUCUCUAUCAGAUCUCACCCUCAUAAGUGACCGUGAAGGGAUUGACAACCCCUAAUCGCGUUGGUUGCGAGUAGCUAUCGUUUUGUGUAGGUACGAGGGACUUGUGCGUGGUCUCCUACUGGAUUGAUACCUUGGUUCUCAAAAAACUGAGGGAAAUACUUACGCUACUUUGCUGCAUCAUCCUCUCCUCUUCGGGGAAAUCCAACGUAGUGCUCAAGAGGUAGCACGCCCCAAGAGGACACACCAAGCCCUUGGCGCCACUCUCUCUCCCGUUACUCCGUAGUUCCACUGCCUCGUCCCGGCGACGCUUAGCGAAGCGCUGUCGGUGCUCCACCACCACCAUCACCACCACGCCGUCGUGUUGGUUGUGAUCCCAUCUACUUCUCCUCUCCCGCUUGCUGGAUCAAGGAGGAGACGUAAUCGAGCCGCGCGUGUGCUAAACUCGGAGGUGACGUCCAUUCGGCACUAGAUUGGUUGGAUCGUGAUCGGAUCGCGAAGAGUACGACUACAUCAACCGUGUGAUAAACGCUUCCGCUUUCGGUCUACAAGGGUACGUAGACACGCUCUCCCCCUCUCGUUGCUAUGCAUCUCCUAGAUAGAUCUUGCGUGAGCAUAGAUUUUUUUAAGAAAAAUUGCAUGCUACAUUCUCCAACAGAAUGAACAUGAUUGUUUUGUUGCCCAACCACUGACUGGGAAGGAUAUUCUAUAUGCAUAAGAGAGCCAUCCACAUUAACUUAGAUAUCUUAACAUGCAAGAAUGCCACUUCACAAUACAAUUAUGCAUGGGACAAAGCCCACCUCAACAUGCAAGAAUGCCACUUCACCUUACAAUUAUGCAUGGGAAAAAAUCCAACUCAACAUACAAAUCAUGCAUGGGAAAAGACCUACCAAAACAUUCAACCAUGCAUGGGAAAAUGGUUUCCAUUCAAUUAUUCUAUUUAUAUUCAAUCGAUGUUCAUGAUAUCGGUAACUUGUAGCUGCUUAGUUGGGUGAGGGGUAGGGAUUAAUCGGCGAAUCGGCCUAUUAACUGAAUUUAUCGGUAACCCCUUUAUCGAUAGGUUAAUUAGGUCCAUAUCUAUAUAUCUUAGCUACAUAUAGCAAUAAUGCAGCAACAAUAAAGGAGAUGCAAUAAGAAGCAGCAACAGCAUAUAGCACAGUGCAUGAGCAGCAUAUAGCAUAGCACAAAGCAGAUUAACAUAUAACACAGACUGCUUUGGGAGGGGUGGCGACCUGGAGCAGGAAGAAGGGAUGCGAGCUCGGGGAGGGGAAGGCGUGCUCGUUUGCCGUGUCGGUGGUGCUGGUCUCGAGGAGGGGAGGGGGGAGGGGGCAGCGAGCUCGAGCAGGAGGAAGAAGCUUGGUGCCUGCAUCCUCAAGGAUGCAGGCGGCUCUGGUAGAUGGCACCGGCACCUGCUCGGGGCGACAGCGGUGGCUGCUCCUAGCCUCCUCCAAAGAGGGUUACUAUGGGAGGGGAGCGGAGUGUGAGAAGUGAGGGAACAGGCUGACCUAAAACACCCAAUUUUGCAAAUUUCUCUUAACCUUUAUUCAGUUAACGCGAUGGAUAAGGUGUAAUCGCAUCCGUGACCUACGGAUUCACGAUUAAUAGGCCCAUUAACUUAAAUAUCGGCCGAUAUUUAUAACAGUGUAUUCAAUAAAUAUUGUUAUAACAAUAUAUAUCAAGUAUAGUAAGUCAUGUAUUUUAAAUUUUAGUUGCCAUGUUAUCAAUCCAAAUUUUCAUCAACCAAUUCCCGCAGCAACACACAAGGUAUCCUUAGUUAAUCAUAGUGCUCGGGAAGGGAUAGAAACGCCGAACUGUGCAAAUCAACUGCUGUAGCCACUGAGAAUAUACCGUAAAGGAUAAAAUUGAUGAAUUACAUACAAUCACCACGGCAACAUCCCCAAUAUGACAGCAGCCAAUAUACUACCUACAUCACCGACUGCGCCCCCCCUAAUCUAUGAUCACAUCGGCUGACACUUUUGCCGCCUCUGUGAAAAACAGACUAUCACAUUCAGCUAUAUGUAUGACUUCCUUCAAUUUUGCUCUUAUAGUCACUAACCUCUCAGUACAGCAGAGCAGAGUGGUGCAGUUCCUGCAAGCCAGCUCCCAUCUUCUGACAAAAAUGCAUUUCACCAUUAGGCUACCUAAGUGGGAAGCACAUUGACAGCAUCAUUGUCGCAGGAGACUCACGAACCCUAGAUACCAAGCUUUCACCGGGCGAGCAUCAGGUAGCCUACCCCAGGAUUUUAGUCAGCCUGUGUUCAGUGUUGUUGAGCCAGCAAGAGAAGAAACAUUUUGGUCCAUCAUCGUUUGCCUUUUCAUGAAGACAGCGUACAGAAGCUCGUUCCAGGUAUCAGGAACUCCAGGCAAGCACCAAUGGCUGCAAUCCUGCCUGUGCAGAGGGACAGGCCCUGAAGGGCUGAGGUAUACUGAGAGGUGACCAUCUUUUCGCUGCGCUGUCAUCUGUGUCACGUUCAAUAUAGCUAACCCAGGCAGCUUGGGUCUGAUGCUGCUCCCAAGAAAAUUAUGCACAGGUUGAAGCAUGUCAGCCCAUUGCUCCAGUGAUUUAACUGGUGUCGCAUCAGGAAGAGUUUCCAAGUGGCAACUCCCUCCACUCCGCCAGUCACCACCUCUGAGGAAAACAUGGAUUACUCUAGUUAAAGAUCGGUCAACUUAUUCAUGUAUUUAAAUAGUUAAAUAGAUUAAAAAAAUAUCAAAAACAAGAGAAAUUAAUGCAAUGUUUGAUAGCAUAGAAGUCAGGAAGCCAACAAUUAUUCGCCUUUUAAGUGCCUAUAUAACCCAUACUGUCAUAUAGUCCCUCUGUCCCAUAAUGUACGACGCUUUUUGACACUACACUAGUAUCAAAAAAUGUCCUAUAUUAUGGGACGGAGGGAGUAUUUGGUAAAAUUGCAAAAGGCUGGUGAAAGAUGGAUCAUAUAUUGAGCAAUAUAUUUUGGCAAAGUGAAAUUCAUAAAGCUUCAAAUAAAAAAUAUAAUGAGUAAAUUCCGACUCCAAAAUUUAUUGUGUCAAUCCAAGCAGCCUGUGAUGAUUGUUUGGGGCCUUGAAACAUAAGCAUUUUUAACGAAAAUGCUUUAGCAAGGAAACAUAAAAAAGGAAGACGUAGCUUUGAUAAGUCGUUCAUUAUACAGACCUGAAGUGCACAGGAGCAUAAGUACGGAAGAUGACGUGGGUCUUGCUUGUGUUAACUUCUUUGUGAAGCCAAUUGAAUAGUGUUCGUAUUGAUUUUUGGUACGCAUCAAUAACAGUCAUCUCCAUCUUGACCUCACUCCCUUCUUGGAAAUAGGCACCCCUGGUACAGACAAAGUAACCCUAGUUUUAAGUCGAUUACGGCAGAUGCAAUUGUGGUGGUUCCACAAAAAAUGAACCACAGGUAAAGAUAUAUAUCAGUCAAUAGUCAUCACAUAGAUAAGGUUGGGGACCAGAAAUCGCAUACUAUUAAGUUCUAUGUAUGUUUUAUUAAAGAACAAAAGAGUUCAUAGGCCUAUUUUUUAAUGUAUUUAGCUGUAACCACAUCUUAACAUUCCAUACCCUCAGUAGUUUCAUGAAUCAUGCUAUCACAAUUCUGUUAAACAGCUAUCAGAAAAGUAUACACGUGAACAAACUACAGGAGUGUAUAUACUAAUCAAAAUGCUACUCUGCUGGUGCGUAUACUAAUCACCAGUAGAUGUUAAUUUCAAAUAUGAAAGGUGAAUUCGUGAACGCGAAGGUGAUGGUAAAAAAAAAGGACAAUGUCUACAAGAAACAUUUAACACUGAGACAGGAGAAGUUAUUAAGUCAGUAUAAUGUGUAUUCUUAGUUGCUUACCCUCUGAUAGUUUUCUCGUAGUUCCACCAAUGCCCAGUAUUAAAGAUCAAAAUAUCAGCACUGCUCCACUUACCGCGGCCCGACAUCCAAUCCAUGGCAUCCACCCUAACUGUGUACUUAACAACCUUAGGGGCUCCAGCUGGUGCAUGGCCUUGAAGGACUAUAAAAGGAGAUCUGUAAUACUCCACAGUGCAAUUGUAGUCGCUAAACUUGAAAAUCAAGAAACCCAUGUGCUUUGUGAUGGGACUCCCAUUAAUUUCAUAGAUGGACUUCUUGUUAGGAACAGCACUAGAGAGCAAACAAAGCAGAGACUCCCAUUGGUUCCUUCCAAUUGAAUCACCAACAAAUACCACCCUUCUAUUUCGUAGCUUCUCGAGCAUAAAUUUGGCAUCGAAUCUAGGAAAUGGGAGGAAAGAAUAUUUAAGUUAGAAGCUGAGAUAAAUUAUGCUUAGAGGAGAAAAGCAUAUUGUUCAGGUUGUUCCGCUCACAUAGACAUGAUUAGUAGCGGUAAGCAAAAUCAUGAACUUACAUAAUACAAAGGAAUUGAUGAUCAGCUAUUUUUUCUACGAUUUCAAUUUGCAAGGAGUUUCAAGUUGCUCAAUGGCGCUGGCACUCAGUAAGGUCAUUACUGUGAUUAUUCUAAGAAAAUGUGGACUAUAUCAUAAUUCAUAAGCACCACAUGUCUGAGUUCGAAGUUCAUUACAAUGCACUGCUCUUCAGUUUCACCAUAAAGGCUCACGAUUUGUCUGUCCAUUAGUGAUGUGCUAGGCACAGUAAACUAUUUGCUGCAGUCACAGUCAUACACAUUAUAAGACCCAACACAUGCACCCGUCUCUUACAUGUUGCAAACAUGCAGAUUCCCUAAAUUACAUCAUCAUCGACACAAAUUAAAUGGCAGCAAAUAGUGGCACAAUGUGUUGUUAUUUAGCUCUUCAUGCAAUGAUGACGACCCAUGGUAAAGCAUGGCUACAGUCAGCACUAGCCCCAUGUAACUAACAUCAUCAUCCCUAAUUGUUUGGUAGUAAAACUAUACGACAUAAUGCUGCUGAUGGUAUUAGAUAGCGAUUUGUUUCACAAAAUUAAUUUUGGGCGAGACUUUGUAUUGCCUACUGAGACAUCAUUUUUUAGAAAAUUAAAUUAAGUAUUAACUUCACCGAUGGAUGUGUGGCCACACGAGGAAGGACCGAGUCCGGAAUGAUGAUAUACGAGAUAGAGUUGGGGUAGCGUCAAUUGAAGAGAAGCUUGUCCAACAUCGUCUGAGAUGGUUUGGGCAUAUUCAGCGCAGGCCUCCAGAAGCUCCAGUGCAUAGCGGACGGCUAAAGCGUGCAGAGAAUGUCAAGAGAGAUCGGGGUAGACCGAAUUUGACAUGGGAGGAGUCCGUUAAGAGUCCAUGUGCCAGAGCCAUGAGUUGGUCGCGAGAUCUUUAUGGGUUUCACCUCUAGCCUACCCCAACUUGGGUUCGGUUACCCACCUAAAUUGGGUUGGAUUAGCCAAUGGAAAAGAAAUCUGCAAACAUUCAACAUUCUACAAUUGCAUGAGGAUUCCCAUCAAAUUAACUACCCUAACAUAGCAACAUUCCAGCAUAGGUAUGUAAGAUGUGUUCGAGAAAGAAUAGCUCUGUGAGAUAGCCUUAACUUCAAUUAAAGGCUAUUCACAUGCAUGAAAACAAGGAAUUUAACUAAGAAAGCUAACCAACAACAUAUCCCACAUUUCACAGUGCAGCUGAACAUAACACUAACAAUAGAAAUACCAGAGGACUUGGCAAAUUACAGGAAGAGACCACUUCCAAUCACAUGUGGUAGCAAAGAUGGCAACAUCAUGUCAGACCCAAAUGAUUGAACAAUAUCAUUAUUUUCCCGAAGGCUAACUCAGCGCAUAACAUUAUUUUCCUGAAAUAACUAAUUUAUUUACCCAAAGACUAACUCAGCGCAACUUAUUUUCUAAGUCAAUCAGGGCAAAGAGUUAAAGGGUAUUCACAAUCGUACUGUGGAGUGCUGACUCCUAAGGUGAGACGGUCACAUGCGGCACCUUGUUCGGAUAAUCUAAUACUUCCUCCAUCCCAAAAUAAGUGUCGCUGAUGUAGUACAAAUCAGCGACACUUAUUUUGGGAUGGAGGGAGUAUUAAGUAGGGUUAAGAUUAUAAAAUGCACACCCAUGGAUCCGCAUCUCACAAGUCAGAACUACUGCUGCAAUUUUAAUUCCCAUUAUAUAGAAAAUGCACCAUGCUGAUUGCUAACUCUGGGCAUUGUUAAUUCAAUCAGAACAAAGUGUGAAAAGGUGAGUUCCCAAUCGAACUGUGCAGUACCAAUUCCUAACGUGAAUCGGUCGUCCGCAGCACCAUGUUCGAAUAAGCUAAUGUUUAGUAGGGUUCAGAUUAUAAAAUGCGCACCCAUCUCACAAGUCAGAACUACUGCUGCAAUUUUAAUCCCCAUUAUGUACAAAAUGCAACAUGUCGAUCGCUAGAUUGCAUCACGUUUAUUUAAUAAAGCCCAUCCUAACCUCUUCUUUUUGACUAGUUCGCCCAAGAAAGUGCUGGAAAAUCCCAACUGGAAACUAUAAACUGCAAAGCCAACCUAUCCACGUGACCAAGGACCCGUGAUGGAUUGGAACUUGGGAAUACAAAUGCGAUUUGUGCAUCCAUCUCACCAUAGAGCGCCACGUUGAAAUUCAUGACAGAUAAUGAAUUUAACGUUCUAGUGACUAUGAGAUUUCUCUUACGCAAGAAGCUUGGCAAAACUACAGGUUCAAGUCGAUUCUUAAGUAAACAAAAACGGAGGGGAGGGGUACUAGUAGCAACGGCACAAGCAAGCAGUGAAGUCCAACCAACCUGGGUAGAUCGCAGCGCGACGGCUGCCACCGCCAUUUGACAUAGGAAGCGUCCGGCCGGCCGUUUUCCGAGCACCGGAACCCGACGUCUAAGAAGGGGCAGUCCUUGGACUCGUAGAGCGGGUAGGUGUCGUCCCACACCCAACUCCCGUUGAACAGGUCGCACUCCUCCCCUACCACCAUCGCCGCCGCCGCCGCUGUCUUCUUAACGGCGCCGCGCCCCCUCUCCGCCGACGGCGACGGCGACGCCUCGGCCGCGAUGGAGACCCCGCCGCUCCAGAGCCUCCUGGGCGCCGCGAGCGCGUAGUCGACGGCGGCGGAGCAGCGGAGCGAGGCGGCGCAGACGAGCAGCAGAAGCGCUGCGGUGGCCGUGGCCACCACGGCGAGCCCCACCAUCCCGGCCUUCUCCAGCGGCCUCCUCAUCACCCGCCGCGCCAGCCGCUUGGUGGGCGACCCCACCAUCGCCCCUCCCCUCCCUCCCGAAGCAAGGAGAGAAGAGACCAACAGCACAGGCAAGAGAUCUCGUCCUCCUCCCCCUCCUCCUUGCCGGCCGAGCGCGAGCAGCAGGCUAGCUAAUCACGACUCACGAGCCCCCGCGGCUUUAACCUUCAAUUAAAGGAGUGGGAAGUUGGAGGAAGUGGGGGAGGAAGAGGAGGGGAGUUGCAGAGAGGCCGAAGUUUAUGAGACGAGACGGGGAUGUGGACGAGCGGGGGAAGGAAGCAGCAAGCGAAUCGUCUGCGUUUUGAUUUGGGGGAAAGCGAUGCGUGUGGGGAGUAUUUGGCAUGUACUACGACGGCUAGUUCCAAGUACCCCGUUCGUUCGCCAUGAUGAGCCAUUACGGCAUUACGGGUUAGUGUGGCCGUGUGGGUGAGGUGCGGCGUCGGGGCAAGGUAGAAGUGGAGGCGGGGGAGAACGUUCGAUGGGAUCCGGACGUGCCGGCUAGGAUAGGUAGGAGUAAUGAGUUGGUAACCCACAAUCAAAUUUUGUGCCAGUACUAGUAUGAUUGAAAGUACCAGUACUCCAAUUGUCAUCAAGUUACAGCAUGCAACUUCUAAUCCUUGUAAUUUGCUCACCAUAUCUUUUAUUUUUAUUGUUUUUAGAUUCAUUUGCUCGCCGUAUCUGGUUUAUACUUCAGAGGGCAUGUGUGGCUUUUUCGCUCCUUAAUUUGAUUAACGAAGCAUGAGUUAUAUGCCACCAACAACAUAUUUUUUUGAAGCACCGCUUUUCGGUUUUUAUUCAUUCAACGGAAGCCCAUCUAAGUACACAUGGCACCUCAGAAAGCUAUGUGCUACAGAGUUUACUUGCCGCGAAGCAUAACGAAGCUCGAAUCCCUGGAAGAAUUGAAGAUCCUCCUAAAUCUCCAUAAGAAUAUGGUGGCCCGCUGAUCUAUUCUCCAGCCGUGCCUCCCACAAGCUUGUUGCAUUUAAACAAUCCGUCUGAAUGACUAUAGACUGAUACCCCUUCUCUCUAGCCAGCAGCACAACAUCACGACAGACAAGGGUUUCUAAGCAAAGGGGAUCAAAGACACCCGCAUACCCUAUACAUCAUGUCGCCAAAAAAGAACCUGCAUGAUCACGAGCCACCAUUCCAGUUCCUCCUUUCCUCCUCUCGUCAUCGACCGCACCGUCCACAUUUAUCUUGAUCCAUCCUUCCGCUGGUCCAGCCCAUUGUGGACUAACAGAGCUCACCUCUCCUUGACCACAUGCGGUAUUUCCAGUGCCCGCACAAUCUCAGCAAUGGUGACCAUAGACUGUCGUGGUUCGUAUUGCAUUUCCCCGUGCGUGUAUUUGUUUCUGUUGUGCCAUAUUGUCCGAUGGUAGUGCAAAUAGCGGUCAUGUCCUUCUUGAACAUUUUUCCAUCCAACAUGUCCGUAGACCAAGUCAUGGAAUGAAGCCUUGGUCGCUUGACAUUGAAAAAUACAUCAGCUUCAUUCCAGAACAGCCGCGCAUGAUUGCAUUCAAGCAUUGUAUGGUGCAGUGUUUCAUCAUUGUGUCCACACAUUGGAUAGAUUGGCAGUACUUUGACGUGUCGUCGCUUCAGUUCACUGUAACAUGGCAGCAUGUUUUUGACCAUGCGCCACCAGAAAAUCGUAAUUUUCGGUAGGACUUGUAGCUUCCACAGUACCCUCAAUGUUUGCUCAUUCCCUCAUGAGCUCUCAAUGGUUAGAGUUUGAGCAGAUUUUCUAUCCAUCGUUUCACGGUAAAUUGAUCUAAUUGUAAACAUGCCUGAUCUUUCCCAUGCCCAUGCCCAAAUAUCCUCUCCUGAGUUCCUUGGGCGUGGCAUUGCUAGAAUGGCGUCAACAUCUGGGGCAUAAAAUACCUGCCGAAUUAGAUGGAUAUUCCAUUCACCCGUGUCUGGCACAACCAGAUCACUUACAAGACGGAUCGGGUUUUCAAUAAGUUUCCCCAUCGGUCUCAUAGUCCUUGUACCCAUAAUCCAGUUAUCAUGCCAGACUUCCGUCUUCAUUCCAUCUCCAACUCGGCGAAUCAAACAAGUCUUGCGAAGCUCUCUACCGGUAAUGAUAGCUCUCCAAGUCUUCGACGCCCCCGACGGGCAGCUAGCCGUGAGGAAAUCCCCUUUUGGGUAGUAUCUGCCUUUCAAUACUCUUGCACAAAGACUCUUAGGCUUCUCAAGCAAUCUCCGGGCUUGUUUACCAACAUUGCAUCAUUAAAGACUUCCAUGUCUCUAAAACCAAGGCCACCCUUUAAUUUAGGGAUAGCCAUUUUAUCCCAACUUUGCCAAUGCAUUCCUUUCUUAUCCAACGAUCCAGCCACCAAUAUUUUGACGUAGUCGUAGUAAGCUUCUUGCACAAACCUUUUGUGAGUUUAAAACAACUCAUAGAAUUGGCCGGUAGUGCUUGGACCACUGAUUUCAAAAGGACCUCCUUUGCUGCACAUGACAUUAACCGUUCACACCAUCCUUGCACUUUACCCCUUGACUGCUCAUUGAUAUGUUCAAAAUGUUGCUCGGUAAUCCUUCCAGCCGCCGUGGGUAAGCCAAGAUAUUUCUCUGCCAAUGCUUCUCUCUGAAUAUUCAAAGAGCUCUUAACACCUCGACGGACAGAAGCACCACAAUUAGGACUAAAAAACACCGAACUUUUUUUCUUUGUUGGCACUCUGCCCCGAUCCCAAACAAUAAUCCUCCAAUAUUGAAUUAAGUCUGGAAGCACUCCUAUGAUCUGACUUCAUAAAAAUGAUACAAUCAUCAACAAAUAACAAGUGCAAAAUCCAUGGAGCUUUGGUGCUAACACGGAUCCCACGAUCUAUCCAUCCUCCAUCAUAAUUCUUGAGCAUACAAGAUAGCCCUUCUCCACACAGUAAGAAACAGGUACAAGGAAAUAGGGUCCCCUUGUCUGAUACCACAGGAUGGACUAAAAGGUGGCAACAACUCGCCAUUUACCUUGACCCGAAAGCUUACCAUGGAGACACAUCGCAUAACCAACGAAAUCCAUGCUUCCUUAAAGCCUAAUUGCUGCAAAAUACCUUGCAAAUAGCUCCACUCUACACAAUCAUAUGCCUUCAUCAUAUCGAUCUUCACCGCACAAAAGCCUUGUUUUCCUUUCUUCUUCCUCAUGGAAUGGAUGCUCUCAUACGUUGUCAAAACAUUAUCUGUAAUAAGCCUGUCUGGAACAAAAGCACUCUGCUCCUCUGCAUUAGUUCAUCUAAAAUCCCACACAAUCUGUUAGCCAACACUUUGGAACAGAUUUUAUAAAUUACAUUGCAUACAGAAAUAGGACGAAACUGGGUGAUAUUCUGUGGGUCUUUCACCUUAGGAAUGAGAACAAUCACUGUCUUGUUAAUAACUUCCGGCAUAUGGCCCCCGUUCAAGAAACUGAGGGCAGCCAUUGUAACACCAACUUUAAUUAAUUCCCAGUGCCGCUAAUAGAAACCGGUUGUCAGUGUCAAAACCGGCGGAUCUCGGGUAGGGGGUCCCGAACUGUGCGUCUAAGGCUGAUGGUAACAGGAGGCAGGGGACACAAUGUUUUACCCAGGUUCGGGCCCUCUCGAUGGAGGUAAUACCCUACUUUCUGCUUGAUUGAUCUUGAUGAUAUGAGUAUUACAAGAGUUGAUCUACCACGAGAUCGUAGAGGCUAAACCCUAGGAGCUAGUAUGAUGAUUAUGAUUGUUCUUCUACGGACUAAACCCUCCAUUUUAUAUAGACACCGGAGGGGGCUAGGGUUACACAGAGUCAGUUACAAAGAAGGAGAUCUAACAUCCGGAUCGCCAAGCUUGUCUUCCACGCAAAGGAGAGUCCCAUCCGGACACGGGACGAAGUCUUGAGUCUCGUAUCUUCACGGUCCAACAGUGCGACCAAAGUAUAUAGUCUGGCAGUCCGGAUACCCCCUUAUCCAGGACUCCCUCAGUAGCCCCUGAACCAGGCUUCAAUGACGAUGAGUCCGGCGCGCAGAUUGUCUUCGGCAUUGCAAGGCGGGUUCCAUCUCCGAAUACUCCAAAGUAGAUUGAGGAUCGUGUCUGGCUCUGUAAGAUAACUUCCGCAUUCCACCAUAGAGAGAACAAUAUUCCACAAAUAUAAUCUGCCGACAACUUUAGAUAACGUGACAUCACACCAUGGUCAAGUCAUUAUUCGAACCAUUUUCCCACAACCAGCUACCGCACAUAUUGCGAGGCAGUUUCCUCGGCACGUCUUGUCGAAGCAGAGAUCAUGUCGCCUUAUCACGGGAUCCUCAUCAAUACGGGUAUGGGUAACCCAAUCGUGGCACUUGGAAAAUAAGCGAUUUCCUCAAGCAAGCGGGGAGGCGCACCGUUUUCGCCACCUCUAUAAAGGGAUAAGGAUCUCCCAUUUUUACCCACGCCUUCUUCCUCCUUUGCUCAUCCAUUCUCGCACCCUUGAGCUCCAGCGCCCUAGUUCUCGCCUUCUCCGCACAUCCAAACAUGUCCGGAGUGGGAGGCAAGUGGGUGGCCUCCACCGUCAAGGAGGAGCACAUCACGAAGCUCCGGGCGGCCGGAUACUUGGCCGUAGAUAUCGCGCACCGGCUCCCAGAUGCAAGGCAGAUUAUUCCGACUCCAGGACCCCCAUAAGAGGGUCGUGUUCCUCGCCCGUUUCGUCCGCGGACUGGGAUUCCCUCUCCACCCAUUUGUUUGUGGGCUCAUGUUGUAUUGCGGGCUGGAUUUUCAUGAUCUGGCCCCUAACUUCAUCCUCAACAUCUCGGCGUUCAUCGUCGUGUGCGAGGCCUUUCUCCGCAUCAAGCCCCACUUUGGCCUGUGGCUAAAGAUCUUCAACGUAAAGCCAAAGAUAAUGGUCGGCCAGCAGGCGGAGUGCGGUGGCGCCAUGGUGGGCAAGAUGCCCAACGUCACCUGGCUCGAAGGCUCCUUCGCGGAGACCGUGAAGGGGUGGCAAUCGGGGUGGUUCUACAUCAUCGAGCCGCGCGAUGCCAACUGGGUGGCGGCCCCCGAAUUCCGAUCCGGCAUCCCUGUGCGGCUCACUUCCUGGAAGAGGAAAGGCCUGGCUUGGGGCGCAUCCGCGGAGUUGACCGGACUCCAGAACUGCGUCAAAAACAUGAUAACCAAGAAUAUCAAGCUGGUCAAUGUGGUCCAUGUCAUGCUAUUUCGCCAGAUUCUCCCGUGCCAGAGACGGGCAUUCAGCCUGUGGGAGUUCGACGCGGCCCAACACCAGACACUGCAAGAGCUCUUUGACACGACGCACAAAGACGCCUGGAAGGUGUUGUUCAAGGCCAGCGAAGUUCCUCCCCCCACCUUCGAGGAUCGCGGACUCAUCGCCAGGCGCCAGGCCAAUGCGGUAAGCAUUCUACAUUUCGCAAGAUGUGCCUUUCCUCAGUAUAUUCGUGGGAGAAACUUAGGCAACUGUGCUGAUUUUGACAGGAAUAUGUGGCGACGGCGGAGCGGAUCGACUGUCCGACUCCGUUGCCUAAGGACCCAGCAGAUGAACUCCUGACGGAGAUGCUGGCUCCGGCACCCUAUGAGGUGCCGGAGAAGAAGGCCAAGAAAAAGGCCACGGGGACCAGAAGAAGUUCCUGGCGCAACAUGGUGCCAGACUCAUCGUCCGAAGACACCGAGGCGCACUCCUCCAACGACAACGAGGAGGAGGAGGAGGAAAACCCUCUCCCCGAAAAUGAGGGGGGGAGAAGAGGAAGGCCACCCUUUCCGGGGAGGCCGAAGGGUCCAAGAAGGGAUGGACCCUUCCUCCAGACCACUCCACAACUGCCGCCUAUAGCGAGGAGGAGUGGCUACCCAGGGGCAAGCCCCUGGCGAGAUCGUAAGUAUCCGCACUCUGUAAUACUUUUAGUGCGACUUAGCUUCAUAGUUUGUUAUAACGCCGAACACGCGUAUGCAGUCCGGCCAGGUCCCAUCUCGAGGUAUCCUCUUCGGAUGGGUCUUUGAGUGAUUCAGCAAUGAAUUCGCUCCCGACGGCCACCUCCCCUCGGCCUGCGGAUGACACAGAGGUGCGGUCCCAAAGGGUACCAGAGCAGGGGGAGGCGGCUCUGGAGACGCCCCAAGGUGAAAUUCUAGAUGCUGGGCACAUGGGAAGUAAGAUCCCCAUGGAUUAUGCUGAAGAGAGCCGCAACAAGUUGGGCUCCCAGCUGGACACUACACCGGAACCUCCAAAGGUUCCGGAUUCGGGUGCAUAGCCCCUCGCUAGGGAUAGCGAGCCGGCCGCGCCGAUGACCUCUGUUGCGCCAGAGGCAUCGGAUAGUUUGCUGGAAGUGCUUUGUGGCGCUUCCAUGAGUGAAGAGCACCAUACUCUUAUGAGUGCGGUGAUUCAGAAGGUUCGGUCCGCCAAAAGCGGAUUGACCGAAGCCUGCACCAGCCUCCUGACAGGCUUUGAGGUAAGUAAUCAAAAGUGUGAGAAAUUAUCACCCCAUAGAUAGUAGCCCCUGAUACUCUGUUUGGUGUUCGGAAAGAAAACCCAAACGGAGGGUCAACUUUAAACCGCAGGAAUCUAAUAGUAUGUGUCUAUGUGAAUAAGCAGGCGGUGUUGCUUGCCGCUGCUGCUCGUACAGCAGAGCUCGCCGGACUCGAACGGGACCUGAAGUAGGCCGAAGAGGAGCUCGGCCUCACGAAGAGGCAGCUCGAAGAGAGCAAAGGUAAGUGAUACCCUGUUCAUGUGUCAUAUAGAGGGGAAAAAUGGUGAUGCUAACAAAAAGCAUCAUGAUUUUUAAUUGGGGCCACGACCGAAGUGGCGGCUCUGAAGAAAGCGCUAUCCAAGGCUGAAGACAAGGCGGCCACGGAGCGUAUUGAGCAUGAAAAGCAAGAUGCUAGGGUGGGCAAGGUACAACAAGAGCUCCAGGAGUUUGGCAAGAAGUUCGAGUCCUUGGAGCGUGACUUCAAGACGAAAGAGUCUGAGCUUGCGAAGGCCCUUCAGAGCGCGAAAGACGCCAGGGCCGAAGCCCAAAAGGCCAAGUAGGAAAUCCAGGCGGCCAAGAAGAUAGCGGCGGGUAAGGCAUUCAUUAUGCAAAGCAAGCAUGUGGAGGAGACAUUUCUUUUACUUACCCGAAUUCGGAGCUCUCCAGGGGCAUUCGCAGAUCUGCCACACAGCAUAUCGGAUGCCACGGAGUUCUACCGUGCCGAAGAGGGGAGCUCGACGGAGAAGUUGUUCUGAUCCUAGUAUGCUAGAGCCGAACACCCAAUGCCUCUAAGUGACCAACUGAAGCAGUUGGUUGAGCUCCACAGGGCGGCCGAAGUGGCCAUGAAGGACUUCAUAGUCCGGAUGUGGCCUGGUGAGCCCUUGCCCGAUAGCUACUUCGGCCUUAUAAAGCGGAUGGUAAAUGCUUGUCCGCGGCUCGAAGUUAUCAAGCAAUCCGUUUGUAUUGAGGGUGCCCGCCGGGCCUUUGCCCGUGCGAAGAUGCAUUGGGCCAAGCUGGAUGCAGAGAAGCUGGUGAAGGAUGGACCGACGGAGGGCAAGGCGCAUCGCUACCCCGAGAAAUAUUAUGAUGGCAUUAUGAAAGGCGCUCGCCUCGUGGCCGAUGAAUGUACCAAGGACGUGAUCUUUGAGUGAAUGUACUCAUGUUGUCUUUGUAAUAUGAAAACUAGUUCGUUUGCACUAUAUGGCGCUUUGUUGAUUUAAAAUAUUACCUUCUGUGCGGCUGUUUAUAAAUUUCUGAAAGUAGGCCAGUCGUCGGCUUCUGCCCCCACGUAACUAGUACUGGGGUGUUCAUGGAAAACCUAAACACUCUUUAUCCAAUUUUUUGGUCCUUGAAGGAGGUGUUCGGCACAUCGAACAAGGCAAUUGGACUAUGCGGCUUUAUAACUCUCACUUAGCCAUAGAAGUCUACAAUUUUAAAUUUCGGCGAAGCCCCUAGAAUUCGGAAAACCGAUUUGGGGCGCUAUACACGCCUAAAUCGGACAAGGCCGAUUCCUCGCCUGAAGCGGAGAAAAUCUUUAGGGAUUUAAGACCUCUCGAACAGCGACUAGCUCUCGCCGCAUCAUGACAGUCAGUUUUCGGCUUUCUCUAUUGAGGUGCUCGUCCGGAAGAACCGGGACACAAUUGCAGUAGUUCUCCCUGCGCUACCUUAGCCGAUAUAGCGGAACGUAAGGCACCAAAACAAGGGAGCCGGGCAAACCCAACUAUUGACCCAAGACAUGAUUCGGAGCUGAUGCAUAUAAUGCUAUAAGUUCAGGGUGCCACACUGUCGAAAGUGUUCGGACUUAUCUUGCCGUAUUAUGGGGCACCAUAAGAAGCCCCUGGCAAACUGAACGUACCAAAGUGUACGGAUGCGAUAUUAAAUAAACAUUUUUAGGGAAAAUGUGAAGAUAGGAAUAAUAAGCUGACGCUAUAUAUUAUUUCCCAUUGUUAACUAAUACGUCCAAGUGUAUGUGUACAAUUAAUGCGUUUAAGCAGAAGCAAAUAGGACUAUUUGACAUGUCCUAUUCAAGGGCGGGCCGCAUGUGGGUAUGUAAAACAGGUAUAACAAUCAUUGACAUAUACCACCUAGGUAUUCCCUAUGUGCGCAAGGCCUUUUGCCUCCUUGGUUUUCCCCCCUGUGAUAAGCCCGAUGAUCUGGUUCUCUGAAGGGGAUGCCCGGAAGUAGGGUCCUAAAAGAGAAAAAAGGUUAUUUAAAGUAUGCGGGUCUUGUCGCGGUUGAACUGCACUGUGGACCGCAUCACCGUUGCGCCUCUGUCUAUGCCCAUGGUAUUUUAAGUGUGUAAUUGUGUAUGCACGGCACAAAUGCUGCCUGGAUGGGGCUAGGGCGGAGGCCGGACUGCUAGUCAUGCUCUUGGCGUGCCUGGCGAUCCUGUUGCAGAGUACUCUGGACUCGCUUGACGGAGCUCGGGGUUGUUGUCGCCGAAUUGGCGGUCUGCCGGAGAAGGCUGCUUUGUACUUCUGCCGCGAGGGCCGCAGUGUGCUCUUCUGUACGGAGAGAGCGGUCUGUGUUUUCAUUGACUGUUAUAACCCCGCGAGGUCCUGGCAUCUUGAGCUUGAGGUAUGCAUAGUGUGGUACCGCAUUGAAUCGAGCGAAUGCGGUUCGUCUGAGCAGUGCAUGAUAGCAACUACGGAAAGGGACGAUAUCAAAGAUUAACUCCUCACUUCGGAAGUUAUCCGGGGAUCCGAAGACCACUUCCAGUGUUAUGGAGCCCGUACAACAGGCCUCUACUCCUGGAAUUACACUUUGAAGGUGGUUUUGGUGGGCUUGAUCCUUGAAGGAUCAAUGCCCAUUUUGCGCACUGUGUCCUGGUAAAGCAGGUUCAGGCUACUCCCACCAUCCAUAAGGACUCGCGUAAGGUGGAAUCCGUCGAUGAUUGGGUCAAGGACCAAUGCGGCUGAACCGUCGUGACGGAUGCUGGUAGGGUGAUCCCUACGAUCAAAAGUGAUCGGACAGGCUAACCAUGGGUUGAACUUUGGGGCGACUGGCUCCAUCGCAUAGACGUCCCUUAGUGCUCGCUUUCGUUCCCGUUUGGGAAUAUGGGUGGCAUAGAUCAUGUUUACCAUUUUCACUUGAGGAGGAAAUUUCUUCUGUCCUCCAGUGUUCGCUCGCCGGGGCUCCUCGUCAUCGUCGUUGUGCAGCCCCUUGUCCUUGUUUUUGGCAUUUAUCUUGCCGGCUUAUUUGAACACCCAACAAUCUCUGUUAGUGUGGUUGGCUGGCUUAUCAGGGGUGCCAUGAAUUUGGCACGAGCGAUCAAGUAUGCGGUCCAGACUGGACGAUCCCUGAUUGUUUCUUUUGAACAACUUUUUCCGCUGACCGGAUUUUGAGCCAUUGAAUCCAGCAUUGACUGCCAUGUCUUCAGUGUUGUCACCAUUGUUCUGACACUUGUGUCUGUUGCGCCGUGGCUUGCCAUUACUAUCGCGGAUAUCUGAAGUGUCGGAGGUUCUAGGCGUGGUGCUACUAUGAGCCAACCAGCUGUCCUCGCCCGCACAGAAGCGGGUCAUGAGUGUCGUGAGGGUCGCCAUGGACUUUGGUUUUUCUUGGCCGAGGUGGCGGGCGAGCCACUCAUCGCGGAUAUUAUGUUUAAAGGCCGCCAAGGCUUCGGCGUCCGGAUAGUCGACAAUUUGGUUCUUUUUAGUUAGGAACCGAGUCCAGAAUUUCCUGGCUGACUCUCCGGGCUGUCGGGUAAUGUGACUCAAGUCAUCAGCAUCCGGUGGUCGCACGUAGGUGCCUUGGAAGUUGUCGAGGAACGCGUCCUCCAGGUUUUCCCAACUGCCGGUGGAAUUUGGCGGCAGGCUAUUCAGCCAGUGUCGGGCCGGUCCUUUGAGUUUAAGGGGAAGAUACUUGAUGGCAUGUAGAUCGUCACCGCGGGCCAUGUGAAUGUGGAGAAGGAAAUCUUCGAUCCAUACUGCAGGGUCUGUUGUGCCAUCGUAUGAUUCGAUGUUUAUGGGUUUAAACCCUUCUAGGAAUUCGUGAUCCAUCACUUCGUCAGUGAAGCAGAGGGGGUGUGCGGCGCCUCUAUGCCGGGCUAUGUUGCUACGCAGUUCGAAUAAGUCUAGUCAGCUAUGUUCGGCCCGGACGGACUUGUUGAUAGUGUAUCCGGCAUGGUGAUCAUCGUCACGUGUUGGGGCGCGCCCCCGCGAUCCGUAGAUCGAUCUUGGCUGUCCUGCCUUGUUUUCCAGUAUUUCUCGUAGGUCCUGCCUAUUGCCCGGGGCCGUAGUGUAUUGGAGUGGGGGUGCGGGCUGGUGUUCAGGCUGAUACGCCGUUUUAUCCCAGCCACGAGGUGGCCGGUCAACCUCGUCCUAUGCUGGUAGUGUUGGCCUUAGGGCCUCAUCCUCGAGUUGAGGUAGCAACUUGUGUUUUGGGUAACCUUUGGGGUGGCGCUCGAGUCCGUAUUCCUCGUCUGCCAGGACCUCGGUCCAUCUGUCUGUGAGCAGAUCUUGAUCAGCUUGGAGCUGCUGCUGCUUCUUUUUCAGCCUUCUUGCAGUGGCCAUAAGCCAGCGCUUGAAGCGCUCCUGCUCUACGGGAUCCUCAGGCACGCCGAAUUCAUCGUCGCCGAGGCUCACCUCGUCUUCGGAGUGGGGCAUGUAGUUGUCCUCCUCCAAGUAUCCGUCUGUCGCCUGUUCGUCUGGGCUAACCUGCCCGUCUUCCUGUUCGGCCUGCUUGAAGGCAGGCUGAUCGGGAUUGUAUUCAUCUUCGGCACCAUCCAGAUUGUUUUCAUCUCCUGUGCCGGUAUUGCUGUGGUGGGGCUUGGAGCGGCGCUGAUGACACCCAUGCUUUGAUUUCUUCCUUGAGGGGUUAUCCUCCAUUGCCUCAUCGCCAUUGGUUUCUUUGGGAGUGUCCACCAUAUAUAUAUCAUACGAGGAGGCGGCUGUCCAGCGCCCCGUGGGCGGUGGUUCCCGUUCUUCUCCUGCAUCAUCGUCCACAUCGUCGAUGUCUUCAGAGUCGAAGUCAAGCACGUCGGUCAAAUUGUCGACAGUGGCAAUGAAGUGGGUGGUGGGUGGGCAACGAAUUUCCUCGUCGCCUGCUUCCCACUCGAGCCGGACAUAGUUCGGCCAAGAGUCUCCUGACAAAGAGAGAGACUUUAAUGAAUUCAACACGUCUCCAAAAGGCAAGUGGUGGAAGAUAUCCGCAGCGGUGAACUCCAUUACCGGAGCCCAACCAGAUUCGGCGGGCUCGGGGGCGCGCGGUCUGGAACUUACAGCCGGAUACAAGUCCGGGGGUCCAGUGACACAGACUUCCUUGGGGAUGGAGUCCGUGUUCGGCUCUACCGCCGACGAGUAUGCGGCCUCCGGGGCGGGGUCCAUCCACCUAUCCUCGGACGACGCGAUCUGCCCCGGAUUUAGGUCCGGAGCUCUUGUAGGUGCGAUAUCCCGAGUACUGUCUGACAGCAGGUCUAAGCCAUGCUUGUCGUGAUUGUUCGGCGUUCCUGGCGUAGGCCCGAAUCCGUCGAAGAUCAAGUCUCAGCGGAUAUCGGCCGUAUAGUUCAAGUUGCCGAACCUGACCUGAUGGCCAGGGGCGUAGCUGUCGAUCCGCUCCAGAUGGCCGAGCGAAUUGGCCCACGGUGCGAAGCCGCCGAACACGAAGAUCUGUCCGGGAAGAAAAUUCUCACCCUGGACCGCGUUGUUGAUGAUUGAAGGAGCCAUCAAGCCUUGCAGCGACGACACAGAGGAACUCUCAAUGAAAGCACCAAUGUCGGUGUCAAAACCGGCGGAUCUCGGGUAGGGGGUCCCAAACUGUGUGUCUAAGGCUGAUGGUAACAGGAGGCAGGGGACACGAUGUUUUACCCAGGUUCGGGCCCUCUCGAUGGAGGUAAUACCUUACUUCCUGCUUGAUUGAUCUUGAUGAUAUGAGUAUUACAAGAGUUGAUCUACCACGAGAUCGUAGAGGCUAAACCCUAGGAGCUAGCGUAUGAUGAUUAUGAUUGUUCUUCUACGGACUAAACUCUUCGGUUUAUAUAGACAUCGGAGGGGGCUAGGGUUACACAGAGUCGGUUACAAAGAAGGAGAUCUAGCAUCCGAAUCGCCAAGCUUGUCUUCCACGCAAAGGAGAGUCCCAUCCGGACACGGGAUGAAGUCUUGAGUCUUGUAUCUUCACGGUCCAACAGUCCGGCCAAAGUAUAUAGUCCGGCAGUCCGGAUACCCCCUUAUCCAGGACUCCCUCACCGGUCUCCUGUGCACUGUACAACUUGGUAUAAAACCCCUGUACCUCGGUCUGCACUUGUUCCUUUUCUGAACAUAACGAGCCAUAUGCUUCUUUUAGGCAAUGGAUCUGAUUAGAGCUCUUCCGUGCUCCUGCCCGACAUGAAAGAAACAUGUAUUCCGGUCACCUGCCUUGAGCCAGUUUGCACAACUUCUAGCUCUCGCCAUGAUUUCUUCUUUGUGCAGUAACUCCAACAACUGUCUGGACAAAUCCUUCUCUCGUCAUGAUGGUCCGCAGAACAGCGAGUUAGCUCUUUCCUUCUCAUAUUCCUUGCGAACUUUCUUGAUUCUCCUUUUAAUAUCACCAAAUUUCUUUACCUUCCAAUCUGUCAAGUCAGAUUGCAUAUGCAUUAAGGCUUCAUUGAGCCCCAGCAGCCCCUGUACACCCGAACCAGCAGCCCACUUCUUAGUUACAGUUUCCAUAUAUGAAUCCUUCCUUUGCCAUGCCUCUUCGUACAUAAAAUACCGAGGUUUGGGUCAAACAUCCCCUCCUAAUGUGUGGACUUUUAAAAUCAGGAGGCAGUGGCCUAACUUGGGUGACCAAACAUGUCGCACAAAUGUGCAUAUAGCUUCAUUGUAACACCCCCAGUGUCAUGCUACAGUGACCUUACACUAAUGGUGCCAUGUCAUCAUGUUUAACUAAGCCAAAUUGUCACUUGAUAAAAAUUAAAGCCAAUUUCAAAUUUAAAAUAAAGUCAAAUAAAUAAUUUCUUUAAGCAGUGAAACUAAAAUGUUCACGAUAUUCUAUAAAUUCCCCUGAUCAUUGUCAUGUUGUAACCAACAUUUUAUGAACUUAUUAAAGGCCCUAAAACAAUUAAAACAAGGGCUAAAAGAAUAUUUUAAUUGCUUUUUAAAUUAUAAAAUUUCUAAUCUAAUUUAUUGAAGUGCCAAACUUUUGUGGAAGUGGAUUAAUUUACAACACUACUUAAGGAGCAAAUUUGAUAUUUUAUAAAACUAAAAUACUUUUGUCUCAGAAAGAAAAUAGAACUAAAAAAGCUCAUUGUGCACCGGGCCUAAGUGCACAGUGCAUCGGCCCAGCCCACCUCUCUCUCUCCUUCAACCCCCUACCUCUCUCUCCUAUGCGUGUCACCGUGCGCACACCCGAGCCCCAGAUGCUGCACACGUUGUCCAUCUGACGUGGUUUUGGCAUAGAUAAGUUUGCCGCGAGUCCCCUCAACGCCCUGGAAACCCUAGCGCGCCCCAAUCCCCUCGCUCGCCUCUCUUCCCCUCUAUUAUCCGCUCGCGUCGGAUGCGACCGUUGCCACAUUGCCUCGCCGUCGUGGCCACCAGCCACCAUUCGCUGCUCCACCGUGUCCGGGACAUGCGUGGACGUCGUCUUCGUCACCUAAGCCAUCGGAUCGAUGCCGAGGAGCAUAACAACGGCCGUCCGCUUUGAUGUCUACUACACAACCUUCUUCUUGUAGACGUUGUUGGGCCUGCAAGUGCACAAGUUUGUAGGACAGUAGCAAAUUUCCCUCAAGUGGAUGACGUAAGGUUUAUCAAUCCGUAGGAGGCGUAGGAUGAAGAUGGUCUCUCUCAAACAACCCUGCAACCAAAUAACAAAGAGUCUCUUGUGUCACCAACACACCCAAUACAAUGGUAAAUUGUAUAGGUGCACUAGUUCGGCGAAGAGAUGGUGAUACAGGUGCAAAAUAGAUAGUAGAUAUAGGUUUUUGUAAUCUGAAAUAAUAAAAACAGCAAGGUAACUAAUGGUAAAAGUGAGCAACGGUAUUGCAAUAGUAGGAAACAAGGCCUAGGGUUCAUACUUUCACUAGUGCAAGUUCUCUCAACAAUAGUAACAUAGAUAGAUCAUAUAACAAGCCCUCAACAUGCAACAAAGAGUCACUCCAAAGCCACUAAUAGCGGAGAACAAACGUAGAGAUUAUGGUAGGGUACGAAACCACCUCAAAGUUAUUCUUUCGGAUCAAUCUAUAAAAGAGUUCGUACUAGAAUAACACCUUAAGACACAAAUCAACCAAAACCCUAAUGUCACCUAGAUACUCCAUUGUCACCUCAAGUAUCCGUGGGCAUGAUUAUACGAUAUGCAUCACACAAUCUCAGAUUCAUCCAACCAACAUAAAAGUACUUCAAAGAGUGCCCCAAAGUUUCUAUCGGAGAGUCAAGAACGUGUGCCAACCCCUAUGCAUAGGUUCCCAAUGUCACGAAACCCGCAAGUUGAUCACCAAAACAUACAUCAAGUGGCACAUGAUAUCCCAUUGUCACCACAGAUAAUCACGGCAAGACAUACAUCAAGUGUUCUCAUAAAAGACUCAAUCCGAUAAGAUAACUUCAAAAGGGGAAACUCAAUUCAUCACAAGAGAGUAGAGGGGGAGAAACAUCAUAAGAUCCAACUACAAUAGCAAAGCUCGGGAUACAUCAAGAUCGUGCCAUAGAUGGAACACGAGAGAGGACAUGAGAGAGAGAGAUCAAACACAUAGCUACUGGUACAUACCCUCAGCCCCGAGGGUGAACUACUCCCUCCUCCUCAUGGAUAGCACCGGGAUGAUGAAGAUGGCCACCGGUGAUGGGAUCCCCCUCCGGCAGGGUGCCGGAACGGGCUCCCAAGAGGUUUUUGGUGGCUACAGAGGCUUGCGGCGGCGGAACUCCCGAUCUAUCUUCUGUUCUGGAAGUUUUAGGGUACAAGAGUAUAUAUGGGUGCAGGGGGUACGUCGGAGGAGGUACGGGGGCCCCACGAGGCAGGGGGCGCGCCCGGGGGGUGGGGGUGGGCGCGCCCCCACCCCCGUGGGCAGCCCGUAUCUCCCCUGACGUGCACUCCAAGUUCCCUGGGUUGCUUUCCUUCCAAAAAUAACUUCUCCAGUUGAUUUCGUUCUGUUUUGACUCCGUCUGAUAUUCCUUUUCCUCGAAACACUGAAAUAGGCAUAAAACAGCAAAUCUGGGCUGGGCCUCCGGUUAAUAGGUUAGUCCCAAAAAUAAUAUAAAAGUGGAUAAUAAAGCCCAAUAUAGCCUAAAACAGUAGAUAAAGUAGCAUGGAGCAAUAAAAAAUUAUAGAUACGUUGGAGACGUAUCAUGUUGCGUCCAUUUCCUCUACAUCCACCGGAGCUCCGUCACUCGAUCUGCCGCCGCCACGGCCUCCCCGGCUCCUCUGACCCCGCUUGUAGCUUGUUGUGAGCCCUGCUUCCUUUCUCCAUCUGCCUUCCCCUCGAUUUGUAGCCUCUAGCUUGCCUCGCGCCAGGUAUGACCUCCUGUCGUCGCCGUUGAGCUCGACCCCGUCACCGUCGUCCAUUUCAGAGACCGCCGAGCUCACGUGCAUGCUCAUGCACUUCCCCUGAUGCCGCAUGCGUGCUACUUCGCUCGAUCCCGUGCUAGAAUUUCGAACCCAAGGAACCCGAGCUCCGUCCAUCGCCCAUCAUCAUUGCCGCGACAUUCUAGACCACCCCAGCCACUGCCGCUGGUGCACAUGGAUGUGCGUGAGCCUCCGCAUCUCGUAGGUGCUCAAGGCGCUCAAAUUGGUCGCUGGACGGCAGAUCAGAAGCCUCGCCGCCGCUUCUGUGGACGCCGGACCACCGUCACCGGCGCGCCACUGUUCAAACACCACCUUGGGCACUGCCACGUCGGUCCCCCGCGUUAGGCCGGCUAAUUAGCCACUAAUGGCCCACUGGCAUAUAGGGCCUGCCGUAGUAUUAAAUUAAAUAAAUCAAUUAAGUUAGUUAAACCCCCUUGAUUAACUUAGUUAACUAAAAUAACCCCUAGGUUAAACUAACAGUCACUAUCAACUGGGUCCCAUUGGACCCAGUUAACCAGUCAAACCUCCUGACUGGGCAACGCCCAGUCUAUGACAGAUGGGUCCUAGUUGACCCAGUAGACCAGUCACCAGGUCAACUGUUGACCUGCUGACUCAGCCCCUGAUCCCACCUAUCAUCCUCUGUACCACAUCUCUGGGUACACUUCUGUGUACCCAUAGCAAUUAAGUUUAAAAUAUUUCGAAUUAAUUUAAUUCUAGAAAUUUAAUAAUACUUUAAAAAAUCAUAUAAAAUAAUCCGUAACUCGGAUGAAAAUAAUUUAUAUAUGAAAGUUGCUUAGAAAAAUAUAACGAAUCCAAAUAUGAUAUCCACUCAUCUCACUACUCCAGGAUGCUGCUAACACGACACUACGAUCAAAGACCCUUUGAUGAAACUGUGUGCGAUGCAUUAAUCGCAAACAGUGCUGUAAUAACCCAUCAAAAAAGAUGCAAAAAUGUUUGUGAUGGAGAAUACAUCAAACACGGUUCAGAUUUUAGUUGCGUGUGCGAUGGGGGGUAUACGGUUCAGUUCAAUGAACUGUUUGCGAUGAGGCAGAAGAACGGAAACGGGCAGCCAGAUGCAGGCAUGUGCGAUCUAUGACAUACAGUUCAGUCAGAUUAGCUGUUUUUGAUGAGGCAGAACAACAGAAAUGGGUAGCUAGAUGAAGGUGUGUGCGACAUAUAGCAUAUAGUUCACUCAGAUGAACUGUUUGUGAUUAGGCAACACAAUAGAAACGGCCAGCCAGAUCAUGGUGUGUGCGAUAUACGACAAACAGGUUCCUAAUCAGAAAUGUGUGCGAAGAACCAUAAUAACAUAGACAAUAUUUGCUAAUAAGUCAUGUGUGUUGUGGUCGAAUGUUUGCUGGUAUACGAUUGUUAGUGAUUGAUGAAUUCAUCACCGACGGGUUUUCUAGUAUGGUGUGUGUGUGUUGUCAUUGCAUACAAAACAACAAUAUAUGUAAUUAUAAGGACUUGAUUCCAUAACCAAAUUGAACAUCCAAUUACAUAGGUGGCUAGUAGACACACGACCUUUGCACACACCAAAGUAUGUUAAAAAUGCAUAGAGAACUCAAACAAUGCAUAAGAAAGCAAAACAAACACUGGAAAAUUUCAUAUUUUUUAGGACGACACUCCUAUAGUUGCAUGUUGCCUUUGAAAAUAAAUCAAGGCGGGAAGAAAUAGAGUAUGUCCUUUCGCACAUAUAUAGGUGACAAGUUCCCCCUCGGAACCAUGAGGCUUCUAGAGAUAAGCUCCGGUUUGUAAGAAGUUUAUACCAAAACUUGUUCCAAAUUGGACUAUUUUUUUACCACAGCAUGUUGGCGCCAUGUCAUAACACAAUGCGAUGUUUCAUGAUUUUGAGGAGAGUUUUGGAUUUGCAGUAAUUUUAAAACCAGGUUUCUCGAUGUUUAUUGUCGAGCUGGCACCGCCCUAGAUAGGCAUUUUUCUCAUGGGUCCCAAAUGUCAGAAUCCAAAUCUGCCACUACCAUACAACUUCUACUAUUAAUAAUUACAUCCCAUUUGGUGUGCUAGCUGAAAAUAAGUUUGGUGGGUGUAGACGGGCACUAAGAACUUGCGGGUUCUAUAAUGAACAAAGAUCAAAGCCCACUAUGAAAGAAAAUAUGGGUCAAACCCUAGUUGAAAAGGGCAACAAUGUCUAAUUCCAGCUUGCAAAAGGUACAAAAGCACGUUUACACAUAACCUGUAUUGAACAGGGCGAUAACAUCUAACUCAACUAGAGUUUUUGGCAGUCACAAUCAAAUGGAUCAUUCCGAUCCAUAAAAUCAAGAUCCUGAUACAAAAGAUCUACUGGUCCAUGAUGAUGACAAGUUGUUGUAAAUGUAAGCCGAGCAUGAUCAAAAGCCCUUAGGUCCACCUGAAACUUCUUUUAUGCUGUUCAACAUACAAUUCCGUGAGAAACUUCUUGUUGAAAAACUUAAUCCUCAGGGACAAUAGUGCCCUCGCAUUCCUCACGAAUAAUGUGACAAAGCCAAUGUUUAGAUGGUUGGAUGCAUAUCCUUCCACCAUUAUUGUCUUCAAACGAAUGUCAUGAGAUCUGAGAAAAUCCUUGUGCUUCCUCUGCCAUCGAUUGGUUAGACCUUUUUCUCGAAGUCCUAGUACCUAAAUAGACAUGAAGAUUGAAAACAGUUAAUGUCUAAAAUAGAGUAUGUCGAAGGAGUGAUAGCUGAACGGUUAAUUCUAGUGCAUUAUAUAUGGGCUUUCAAUGUGUGUGAAAUCAUCACCUUUAUAUACAAAUUCUCCACACAUGGAAAGCAUCAUAGCAAGCCAACAGUGGUGUUCAGAUCAAGACACCCUAUAUAAAUAUAUAAGGUCUUGACAGAAUCCAGCACCCCUGAUACACCAUCUAUGGACAAGCUCUUCACUCAGCAUAGAACAUGAUAUUAUUAGCACCAAAAGUGUACUCCAAGAUGAUAUUUAACUUAUGCGCACAAAUGAAAAAUGCAUAUUACUAAAGUGUACAUGGAUAACAUACAGUACUUGAACAAGUGUGGAGCCAACCACCAACUUGUAACAUUCAAAUGGAUGAGGAAGUACACCAAAGGUCUCCAGUUUAGGCGCAGAGACCACAGUUAUUUGUGAAGGUUUAUAACAACAAUCAAGGAGCAACCUUUGAAGGGAAGAGGCAUCUUCGAUGAUGAGCUCCUAUCCUUCAAAAUGAAUUCCAAUGUUUACAAGGUGAGGUGACUUUAUUUUGAGACAAGGGAUAUGGGUCCCUAGUCCAAAACAAGCACCAAAUGCUCCAGUGCAGGGUAGCUAGAGUGGAUGAUGCUGUGAAGUGAGGCCACCGACAGAUCAACCAACACAAGCGCAAGUUUUUUCAGCAGUGGGAGUCGAAGCAUUUGUACCAGAUUGUCUGCUAGAUGGCACCGGGUCAAGGUGGCAGUGUGGAGAGAGGAGGAAAACCAUGAGAUGUGCAUGUGGUGAGGGCACAGAUGCAGCUCUUGGUGGUAACCUAUCGCUGUAGUGAUGGUACAACUCAAGCUGCUGGAGUUUAUUGAAUUAACGGGAUGUCAGCCAGGCAGCCAUCGUGCAGGGUAUGUCCAGCUGGUAGCAUGCCGAGAUGCAGAUGCGUUGAACGGAGCCCUGGUGGGAGGAGACAAUGGCUCUAGGGAGUUCAGAAUCAUCACCGACAGAUAGCUGACGAUAGUCGAGAUUAAGAGGCGCGGCGCGCCCCAGAGUGCGCCACCAAGAUACAAGGACUUGUGUGCGGUAGCCAUCCUUGGUGGGGAGAAGGGAGAUGAUCUUCCCAAGGAUGCCGUCCGGGAGAUCGCUGAUGCGGUCCGCCAGAGAUUCUACUAGUUCCUCGGGUCCGGGGGGCGUGGCCGCUUCUGGCCACGUAGUCGGGUCCAAGAUCUAUAUCCGUCGGUGGUGCUGGCCGGAGCCUCAUUUGUGUACAUAUCAAUCUGAAAGAAAAAAUGGCAUAAACAUACAUGUAGGACAUUCAAAAUCAAUUCUCAAGAUCUGGAAGAAAAAGGCACAAACAUAUAUGUAGGUCAUUCAAAAUUAAUUCUCAAGAUCUGGUGACGAAUUAUUAGCACACAAGCUAACCCUAGUCAGAUUAUUAGCAGAAAUCAUUUGUACAGAACAAACAAUUAAUCACUAACUAUAUACGGAUAACAUUCAAACAAUCAAUACACUACGUGCAUCUAACAGAUCUUAAUUACUCUGAUUUCAUGGAGUGAGAGAACAUAACCAUAGGAUUUGUAUUCCAAAAAAAAUUAUAAAGGGGGGGGGGAGUAACCAGAGAAAACACAUGAUAUGUUUUCCGCACAAAUGGGUAUAUAGAUGACUAACCGGUUUUCCGCCGGAGUCGCAGUCGUUGCCGGAGUUGCUAUUGACCUCCGGCUCCGGCCGCGGGAGGGGGGGGGGCACGACGGUGCCGAUGAAGUCAAGGUCGUGCUGCUUCCCGCGCUAGACCUCGUCGGCGGCGACGGCAACCUCUGUGCCCAGCUUCACGCAUUGUGUGGGUGCUUCACCAACCUCGGCGUCGCCACUCCCUCUGAUGGUGCGCUUCGGCGGCAUCCUCAUACACUCCAGAGUCUAGACGUUGGUGACCACUGUGGACCAGGGGUGCGGCCGCCUAUUAUGGCCGACGGCUUGGGCGUGCAAUUAAUACAGACCAAUGGGAGUGAGACAGGCUGCAGUCAAAAGUUGUCUCGCCUCCCAGUGAGCGUGCGCGGUGGACUUCUGCCAUUCCUACCAUCAUUUCACACAGCUACUCGCACGCCUCCCAUAAAUACGCACACCUGCAGGCACGCCUCCCAGUAUGCCUGCGUGGCGGACUGCUUGCAUGCGUCCCGUCAACUCACGCCUGCUCGCACGACACAUGGGGAGUGUGGCAGCACAUAUAUUUUUUUGGUUUAUUGAUGAUUCAUUCUGCCGCUUUACUGCUUAACUGAAGCAUGACAUGGUCUAAUGCGCACAGUCCGAAUAAAUAAUCCGUAUGAGAAAUUGGUUGCCAGUUUUUCAUAAUCUCCCGUUUGUAAGAAGAUUAUAUCAAAACGGAUCACAUUAACGAAAAAAUACAAUAUCAUAGUCUACUGGUGUCCAUAUAUGACACCACUAUAAGUUUCAUGAAUUUCAACUAAGUUUUGGAUUUACUGAAUUUAAAAAUAUAUAUUCUCAAUAUUUCGAAAUCUCUUGCACAGGGAAACAUGCACCCAGGGACACAUAUGAUUUUGCAACCCAUUUUGGUGCACAUGUAGCUCAAAUUUGAUUUUUGCACAUUAAAUCCCUAGGAAAUCAAUCCAUGUAUAAAAAUGGACGAAUGAUGUCUGUUUUUUUCAAUUUUAACAUGACACUCUGCCUUUGGUCACAUGUUCACUGUAGAAAAAGUUUGACAUGCCUCAGAGUGGUUGUGGUGGUGUAGGAUGUGUGUGUCUGUGUGUGGGGGUGGGGGUGGGGGGAGGGGUCCGACAGUACACUAUGAGUCGUGAACCUUCGUGUGGGAUUAUUGAUCAUUUUGUGAGUCAUAUAUGCCACAUCAAAGUCGUGAAUUGGUUAUUUAAAGCAUUACACAACCCUUUCGUACAUAAUGUUCGGGCCACAUGCAUGCAUUGGUGGUCCUCUCGGACACUCUCCCUCGUGCGGUUAUCAGUGACGUGCCCAUUCGUUAGCCUGCAAAGGUUUUCAGUUUCCACCGACAAUGAGAUGCAUUUGACCAAAAGGUGGAUUCAUCUUGACAUGUGUGUGGUGUGGAUCAUGGUGGGAUUCCAUAUCAAAGUUCCAGCAUGUGCGUACACACUCCCAUUGGCUUGAAGUGAGGGGGCUACAUGCAUCAUGGUGUACUGCGUUUCCGGUUUGCAAAGCAUGUGCCACGUCAAAGUUGUGCAUUGAGUAUUCAAACAUCACAUAACACACAAGCGCAUGCACGCGGUGGUUUUGUCCUAUGACUUCACUCGCAUGUGCCUCUCUCUAUGGGCCAACAAGGUCGUCGUCGACCAGUUGAACGUACAACGAGAGAGAGGUUAAUUUGACCAACAAGGAUGGUUCUUUUUUGGUUUGUGUUACGUAUAUGCACGGUAUAGGAGUAUGUACAUGUCAAAGAGGGGGCAACAUGAAUACUCUAUAUAUAUGUGUGUCAUAACCUCACUCCAUGUGGGGACUUUCCGGUUCCCGAGGCAGGUGCCACAUCAAAGUUGUACAUUAUAUUGGUAUUCAAACAUCACGCAAUACCAUGCAGGCGGUGGUUGCCCUAUAUAUAGGAACUCACUCUCCUGUGGCGCUUCCAUCCGUGGGCAUGCGAGGUUGUCCUCCAUCACUUUGACCCAAUGAGAAAGAGGUUAAUUUGAUCAUCAAGGAAUGAUUCUUUUUUGGUUUGUGCUAUACACUAGAAGUACAUAUAUACCACGCGUCGAAUGGGGGCGUACAUAUAGCACAUACCACGCGUCAUGAACCUCGCGCUCUCUAUGGGGACUUUUUGGUUUCCUAUAUAUGUGGUGCCACAUCAAAGUUGUGCAUUGCGUAUUCAAACAUCACACACACAACUCUUUGGGCCACAUGCAGACGGUGGUACGUAGUCAUAUAUAGGAUGAUCACUCACGUGCGACAUACGCUUCGCUUCUAUGUUGGCCCCGCGAGUUCGUUGUCCAUCACUUUGACCCAGCGAGAGAGAGGUAUGUCUGACGAACAAGGAGGAUUAAUUCUUUUAGGGCUGUGUUACUAGGUGUAUAUAUAGUAUGUGUCGGGGGGGGGGGACCAGCUUGGUCCAUCACUUUCACCGAAAGCGCGAGAGAGGUUAACUAAUUUGACUUAGGAGGGGAUUAAUUUUUUGUUUUGUCUUGAUAUAGAUCAUGAUGUGAGAUUACAUAUAUAUAUAUAUAUAUAUAUAUAUAUAUAUAUAUACACAUCUGGGCUAUUCUGUUACGCGUAACAGAAUACUAUUCUAUUACCCUUGUUGAACUGACGGUUUCAGGUGGCUGUACUGAUGUUUUCGAAGCGGUUGAACUGAUGCUUUCACUUGUGUUUAACAGAUUGUCUUCUUUAGUUCGAAAACUUUUUGUAAUUUUUUUGUCAGAACGGGGCGUGUAAUAUAUCGUUGGAAAGCUCUUGACAACCAUAUUUCAAGUAUAUUGAACGUUUUUUCAAAAUCAUUAUGGUUUAAGAGCAGUUUUGAAAAAACCGUUUUUUUCAAAACCGAAAACGUGAAUCGUAUUUUGGACUCAAUUUUCAAACGGUUUGUCGGAAUUGAGCAAAGAAGAUGGCGUUGGAAAUCUGGUGAAAAUCCGCAUCUUCCAUAUAUGUAUUGUUUUUUCUAAUUUUAUAUGAUUUAAAAGUAAUUUGAAAAACGGUGAAAUUCUGGGCGAAACAUAUUUUCACGAUUUUUUGCAAAUGGUUUGUCGGAUUGACGCAAAUGAUACGGCAUUGGAAAGCUAUGGAAAAUGCGCAACUUUUUUGUAUAGAAAUGUUUUUCUAAUUCCUUACGAUUUAAAAACAAAUUCAAAUACGGUCAAAUUUGAUUUUGAACGCGAUUUUUUUAAAAAGUUUGUCGAAAUAUGGCAAAUAAUAUACCGUUGGAUAGCUAUCGAAAAUGCGAAACUUAGUCAUGUUGAACGUUUUCUCUACUUCGCAACCGUUUAAGAGUAAUUUUGAAUACGGCAUGACGGAUCCUGCUGUUUUUUCGUCUGAAAAACAGAGUAGUCGUACUGAUAUAUGCGUAUGUUUGUACUGAGCUAUUUUUUGUAGAGUAAUUUUGAAUGGUUCCGAAAAAGGGUACUUGUACUGAUGCUUGCGUGGGUUUGUACUGAGCGUGUUUUCACCAACUAGACUUUGCUAUGUUUUUUGGGUAAUUUUUUUCUCGUGAGUUUUCAACGGUUUACUGUAUCGUAGCCCCUGUACUUGUAUGGUUUGUAUCAUCGAACUGAAUGAUAUUUUAUGUAAAAAUAAAAUGUGUUUGUUUUGUUUCUUUUUUUCAACUCAACAUUUUGUCGACAAUGUUGUUCUGAACUUCUGUCAUUUUACGACUUGUACUGAGGUACUUACUAAGCAGGAUUUUCAUGUGGUUUCUUUUUUUGCUUGAACUUUACAAUUUGAAUUUCUGCCAUUUCUUUUAUUCUGAACGAACCACCAUUUUUAACUCGUACUGAGGUACUUACUACGCCCGAACUAGGGUGGCUGUCGCGUGUCUCAGCGUGUUCUCGGGAGGAGCAAGGAUGAGUUGCGAGAGGGCUUGCCGGCGUUGAGCGGGAGGCGAGCUGGACAGCGAUGGGGGUCAGAGAGGAGUUGGGGACGAGGCGGCAGCUUGAUCUAGUAGACACGGGGGUGGGGCGGUAGCCGGAGCUGUGGGAGAUAGGAGCAGGGCGGCGGCCAGAGCCUGGGGAGACGCGAGCGCGACGGCGGCCGGAGUCGGGGGAGACGGGAGCGGGGCGACGACCGGAGCCAGGGGAGCCGGGCGGCGGCACACUGGGGAGGAGCCGGGCGGCGGCGCACUUGGGAGGGAGCAGGAUGGCGGCGCGCUGGGAAGGAUCCGGGCGGCAGCGCGCUAGGGAGGAGCCGGGCGGCGGCGCACUUGGGAAGGAGCAGGGCGGCGGCGCGCUGGGGAGGAUCCGGGCGGCGGCGUGCUGGGGAGGAGCCGGGCGGCGGCGCGUGGGCUGUGGUGGGAGGGGGUGGACGCAGGCGGAGGAAGGAGGUCGGGGAUGGGGGCGCAGAGUAGAUCGGGCCCUAUAGGGGGUGGGGGUAACAGAAUAAUAUUCUGUUAUGGGUAACAGAAUAGUCCAGCCCUAAUAUAUAUAUAUAUAUAAUAGCGCUUAUGUACACAUGAAUCCAUCCCGCUGGAUCGAAGGGGGGGGGGCGAGCACACGACACAUCAUGAACGACCUCUUGCUCUAUGUGGGGACCUCUGCGAUUUUCAAUGCAUGCACCACAUCAAUGUUGUGCAUUGGGUCGAGUAUUCAACACAUAUGCGUGCAUCACACACCUCCAUAAAUAUGUUAGGGACGCACGCAUGCAGUAAUGGUUGUCUUUGGAUAAACUCUCACUCGCUUGGUUAUGGGCAGCAAGCCUAUAUAUAUUCGUGGGCCCGCGUGGACGUCCAUCAUUUCGACCAACGACGAGAAACGUUACCAGGGUGGAUUAUUCUUCUUUGCUUCAAGUUACCGUAUAGUAGGUCGACCCAUUCCAAAGCCUAAUUAAGUCUGAGUGCAUGCUACGCAUCGUGAACCCUCGCUCGGUGUGGGGAUUUUACGGUUCCAAAGCAUGGUGCCACUUCAAAUUUGUGCAUUGGGUAUUCAAACACCACACACACCACUUCCACACACAUACUUGGGCCACACGCAUAGAGUGAGUUUGUCUUCAUCCAAUACUCCCUCGCGAGGUUAUCGGUGACAAGCUAGCCCAUUUUGCGGGACCGUGUGGACAUCCAUCACUUUGACCAACAACGAGCGGGGAGAGGCUGUAUGACCAAGUUGGAUUCUGCUUGGUCCGUGUUACUNNNNNNNNNNNNNNNNNNNNNNNNNNNNNNNNNNNNNNNNNNNNNNNNNNNNNNNNNNNNNNNNNNNNNNNNNNNNNNNNNNNNNNNNNNNNNNNNNNNNNNNNNNNNNNNNNNNNNNNNNNNNNNNNNNNNNNNNNNNNNNNNNNNNNNNNNNNNNNNNNNNNNNNNNNNNNNNNNNNNNNNNNNNNNNGGCUACUUUGCGCUACCUGCAACCUCCGUGGGGUCGGGGAAGUCCAGUUAAUUUGCGAGGCACACGUGCCACAUCAAAGUUGUGAAUGGUAGUUAAAUAUCACACACCACACCCUUUUCAUACAUAUAGUAGGGCCACCCGCAUGUGGUUCAUGUGUGGUCUCACCCAUCUUGCGCCACAAGCAAACGUUUGUGGGUCGGCACACAGUCCACCUUUGUCGGGAAGCGAAAGGGGAUGUUUGACCAUAUAUAUGAUGGACUCCUAUAGGCUUUGUGUUACGAUAGGGUGAGAUUUUAGACCUAGAUAUUUGGGGGCAUGCAUUCAUAGCUAGGAUUCCCUUACCGCCGACACGAAGUGGGGUUCGUAGGGGUGGCUGACUAGCAAUACUGUGCUUUUGUGUGACAGGUGCCACAUCAAAGUUGUGCAUUGGGUAUUCGAACAUCAAACCACCCUUUUCAUACAUAUAUUUGGUCCACAUGCAAGUGUGUUCGUGUUCUGACCCUCUCCCGCGUUAUUAUUUUUGCCAAAUUAAUAAACUUCACACGAGUAAGAUGUAGAAACCAUCUGCAAUUGGGUACACAACAGACACAGUUCGGUCAGACUAAUCGUGUGCCACCCCUAUGCCCUGCAGUCCCUCACAUCACCAUGGUAGAUUGGGCUCCACGAGGAUUGCCUCCCGGUCUCGAAAAUAUCUACUGCCUCGUAAUCUCGAAAAUAUCUACCGCUUGGAAGGUUUUAAUGUUUGAUAGCACACGAUUAAUAUGUGUGGACCGUAUGCGAUGUCUGUUACUCUCGCUCUGCUUCAGUCCCUUGAUUCAAAUUUUCAGUAGCCCCGGCAUUUUACUCCCGCCUCUGCAUCCCUCGCAAUCUCAAAAAUAUCUGCUCGCCCUUGAUUCAAAAUUUAGAUGCCCCGGCAUUUUACUCCUGCCUCUACAUCCUUCGCAAUUUCAAAAAAUAUCUGCUCGCCCUUGAUCCAAAUUUUCAGUAGCCCUGCCUUGUUACUCCCGCCUAGUAAAAAUUUUAGUUGCCGAGGUAUUUCCUCAAACACCACCUUGCCCCCCCUCCACACACACCACACACUCCCCAAAACCUCUGCUCACAUAGACACACACCACCCCUCCCUCGCUCAAAACCUUUCAUAGGUCGCCGCCGCCUCCAUCCUCAACCUCUGCUUGUGUGUCAGGGAGCUUGAGGAGCCAAUGGCCAUAAAGAGGUUUACCGUGGCCUCUUUGCCUGACGCUGAUGAGGUGGCCGCCGAGGUGUCCCUGUCGUCACCGGUUGCCCAAUCCGCCCACCGCCACUCCCUACGCCAGUUCGAGGACUUCCUCGUCCUCCCUCGGGCCCGGACGCCGACGAGGUCCUACCUCAGGGUCCGGCAGCGACGGUGGGGGAUGUGGGUCACCGAGAUUACGGAUCAGGAGACCCACACCCGCCGGUGACUUGGUAGCUUCCACAUGGCCGAGCUUGCAGCCAUGGAGUACAACCGCUGGCAGGUCCUCUACCACGACGUGACGACUAGGCUCAAUUUCCCCUUCGGCAUUGAUACGUCUCCAACGUACCUAUAAUUUUUGAUUGCUCCAUGCUACUUUAUCUACUGUUUUGUGCAAUAUUUGGCUUUAUUAUCCACUUAUAUAUUAUUUUUGGGACUAACCUAUUAACCGGAGGUCCAGCCCAGAUUUGCUGUUUUAUGCCUAUUUCAGUGUUUCGAGGAAAAGGAAUAUCAGACGGAGUCAAAACGGAACGAAAUCAACUGGAGAAGUUAUUUUUGGAAGGAAAGCAACCCAGGGAACUUGGAGUGCACGUCAGGGGAGAUACGGGCUGCCCACGAGGGUGGGGGGCGCGCCCCCCCCGGGCGUGCCCCCCUGCCUCGUGGGGCCCCCGUAGCUCCUCCGACGUACCCCCUGCAGCCAUAUAUACUCUUGUACCCUAAAACUUCCAGAACAGAAGAUAGAUCGGGAGUUCCGCCGCCGCAAGCCUCUGUAGCCACUAAAAACCUCUCAGGAGCCCGUUCCGGCACCCUGCCGGAGGGGGAUCCCAUCACCGAUGGCCAUCUUCAUCAUCCCGGCGCUAUCCAUGUCGAGGAGGGAGUAGUUCACCCUCGGGGCUGAGGGUAUGUACCAAUAGCUAUGUGUUUGAUCUCUCUCUCUCUCUCUCUCGUGUUCUCUCUCGUGUUCCAUCUAUGGCACGAUCUUGAUGUAUCCCAAGCUUUGCUAUUGUAGUUGGAUCUUAUGAUGUUUCUCCCCCUCUACUCUCUUGUGAUGAAUUGAGUUUCCCCUUUGAAGUUAUCUUAUCGGAUUGAGUCUUUUAUGAGAACACUUGAUGUAUGUCUUGCCGUGAUUAUCUGUGGUGACAAUGGGAUAUCAUGUGCCACUUGAUGUAUGUUUUGGUGAUCAACUUGCGGGUUUCGUGACAUUGGGAACCUAUGAAGGAAAUAUGCCCUAGAGGCAAUAAUAAAGUUAUUAUUUAUUUCCUUAUUUCAUGAUAAAUGUUUAUUAUUCAUGCUAGAAUUGUAUUAACCGGAAACAUAAUACAUGUGUGAAUACAUAGAUAAACAGAGUGUCACUAGUAUGCCUUUACUUGACUAGCUCGUUAAUUAAAGAUGGUUAUGUUUCCUAACCGUAGACAUGAGUUGUCAUUUGAUUAACGAGAUCACAUCAUUAGGAGAAUGAUGUGAUUGACAUGACCCAUUCCGUUAGCCUAGCACUGGAUCGUUUAGUAUGUUGCUAUUGCUUUCUUCAUGACUUAUACAUGUUCCUGUAACUAUGAGAUUAUGCAACUCCCGUUUACCGGAGGAACACUUUGGGUGCUACCAAACGUCACAACGUAACUGGGUGAUUAUAAAGGAGCACUACACGUGUCUCCAAAGGUACAUGUUGGGUUGGCGUAUUUCGAGAUUAGGUUUUGUCACUCCGAUUGUCGGAGAGGUAUCUCUGGGCCCUCUCGGUAAUGCACAUCACUUAAGCCUUGCAAGCAUUGUAACUAAUGAGUUAGUUGCGGGAUGAUGUAUUACGGAACGAGUAAAGAGACUUGCCGGUAACGAGAUUGAACUAGGUAUUGGGAUACCAACGAUCGAAUCUCGGGCAAGUAACAUACCGAUGACAAAGGGAACAAAGUAUGUUGUUAUGCGGUUUGACUGAUAAAGAUCUUCGUAGAAUAUGUAGGAGCCAAUAUGGGCAUCCAGGUUCCGCUAUUGGUUAUUGACCAAGAAUAGUUCUAGGUCAUGUCUACAUAGUUCUCGAACCCGUAGGGUCCGCACGCUUAAGGUUUCGAUGACAGUUAUAUUAUGAGUUUAUGAGUUUUGAUGUACCGAAGGAGUUCAGAGUCCCGGAUGAGAUCAGGGACAUGACGAGGAGUCUCGAAAUGGUCGAGACAUAAAGAUCGAUAUAUUGGACGACUAUAUUCGGAGUUCAGAAAGGUUCCGAGUGAUUCGGGUAUUUUUCGGAGUACCGGAGAGUUACGAGAAUUCGCCGGGGAGAAGCAUUGGGCCUUAUUGGGCCAUACGGGAAAGAGAGAGGGGCUGCCUAGGGCAGGCCGCGCGCCCCCCAUGGCCUAGUCCGAAUUGGACUAGGGGGAGGGGCCGCACCCCCUCCUUCCUUCCCUUCUCUCUUCCCCUUCCUAGUCUCCUACUCCUACUACUUGGAAGGACUCCUAGUUGGACUAGGAAAGGGGGAAUCCUACUCCCGGUGGGAGUAGGACUCCCCUAGGGCGCGCCAUAGAGAGGGCCGGCCCUCCCCUCCUCCACUCCUUUAUAUACGGGGGCAGGGGGCACCCCAUAGACACACAAGUUGAUCUUCGUGAUCGUUCCUUAGCCGUGUGCGGUGCCCCCCUCCAUUAUAUUCCACCUCGGUCAUAUCGUUGCGGUGCUUAGGCGAAGCCCUGCGUCGGUAGAACAUCAUCAUCGUCACCAUGCCGUCGUGCUGACGGAACUCAUCUCCGACACCCUGCUGGAUCGGAGUCCGGGGAUCGUCAUCGAGCUGAACGUGUGCAGAACUCGGAGGUGCCGUACGUUCGGUGCUUGGAUCGGUCGGAUCGUGAAGACGUACGACUACAUCAACCGCGUUGUCAUAACGCUUCCGCUUACGGUCUAUGAGGGUACAUAGACAAUACUCUCCCCUCUCGUUGCUAUGCAUCACCAUGAUCUUGCGUGUGCGUAGGAAAUUUUUGAAAUUACUACGUUCCCCAACAGUGGCAUCCGAGCCUAGGUUUUAUGCGUUGAUGUUAUAUGCACGAGUAGAACACAAGUGAGUUAUGGGCGAUACAAGUCAUACUGCUUACCAGCAUGUCAUACUUUGGUUCGGCGGUAUUGUUGGAUGAAGUGGCCCGGACCGACAUUACGCGUACGCUUACGCGAGACUGGUUCUACCGACGUGCUUUGCACACAGGUGGCUGGCGGGUGUCAGUUUCUCCAACUUUAGUUGAACCGAGUGUGGCUACGCCCGGUCCUUGCGAAGGUUAAAACAACACUAACUUGAUGAACUAUCAUUGUGGUUUUAAUGCGUAGGUAAGAACGGUUCUUGCUCAGCCUGUAGCAGCCACAUAAAAUUUGCAACAACAAAGUAGAGGACGUCUAACUUGUUUUUGCAGGGCAUGUUAUGAUGUGAUAUGGUCAAGACAUGAUAAGAUAUAAGUUGUUGUAUGAGAUGAUCAUAUUUUGUUGAAGUUAUCGGCAACUGGCAGAAGCCCUAUGGAUGUCUCCUUGUUGCAUAAGAUGCAAGUGCCAAAUAAUUGCUUUACUUUAUCGCUAUACGAUAGCAAUAGUUGCAAGAGCAAUAGUUGGUGAGACAACCAUGUGAUGACACAUUGAUAUAGAUCAAGAUGAUGAAGAUCAUGGUGUCGUGCCGGUGACGAUAGAGAUCAUGACAGUACUUUGGAGAUGGAGAUCAAAGGCGCAAGAUGAUCAUGGCCAUAUCAUGUCACAUAUUUUGAUUGCAUAUGAUGUUUAUCUAUUAUACAUCUUAUUCUUGCUUUGAUUGACGGUAGCAUUUUAAGAUGAUCUCUCACUAAUUAUCAAGAAGUGUUCUCCCUGAGUAUGCACCGUUGCCAAAGUUCGUCGUGCCCAGACACCACGUGAUGAUCGGGUGUGAUAAGCUCUACGUCCAUCUACAACGGGUGAAAGCUAGUUUUGCACACGCGGAAUACUCAGGUUAAACUUGACGAGCCUAGCAUAUGCAGAUAUGGCCUCGGAACACGGAGACCGAAAGGUCGAGCGUGAAUCAUAUAGUAGAUAUGAUCAACAUAGUGAUGUUCACCAUUGAAAACUACUCCAUCUCACGUGAUGAUCGGUUAUGGUUUAGUUGAUUUGGAUCACGUGAUCACUUAGAUGACUAGAGAGAUGUCUGUCUAAGUGGGAGUUCUUAAGUAAUAUGAUUAAUUGAACUUAAAUUUAUCAUGAACUUAGUCCUGGUAGUAUUUUGCAAAUUAUGUUGUAAGAUCAAUAGCUUGCGUUGUUGCUUUCAUAUGUUUAUUUUGAUAUGUUCCUAGAGAAAUAUGUGUUGAAAAAUGUUAGUAGCAAUGAUGCGGAUUGGAUCCGCGAUCUGAGGUUUAUCCUCAUUGCUGCACAGAAGAAUUAUGUCCUUAAUGCACCGCUAGGUGACAAACCUAUUGCAGGAGCAGAUGCAGACGUUAUGAACGUUUGGCUAGCUCAAUAUGAUGACUACUUGAUAGUUUUGCACCAUGCUUUAUGGCUCAGAAUCGGGACUUCAAAGAUGUUUUGAACAUCAUGGACCAUAUGAGAUGUUCCAGGAAUUGAAGUUAAUAUUUCAAGCAAAUACCUGAGUUGAGAGAUAUGAAGUCUCCAACAAGUUCUAUAGCUAAAAGAUGGAGGAGAAUCGCUCAACUAGUGAGCAUGUGCUCAGAUUGUCUGGAUACUUCAAUCGCUUGAAUCAAGUGAGAGUUAAUCUUCCAGAUAAGAUAGUGAUUGACAGAAUUCUCUAGUCACCAUCACUAAGUUACUAGAACUUCGAGAUGAACUAUAGUAUACAAGGGAUGACAAAAACAAUUCCCGAGCUCUUCGUGAUGUUGAAAUCAACGGAGGUAGAAAUCAAGAAAGAGCAUCAAGUGUUGAUGAUUGACUAGACCACUAGUUUCAAGAAAAGGGCAAAGGGAAAGAAAGGGAAACUUCAAGUAGAAUGGCAAACAAGUUGUCACUCCCGUGAAGAAGACCAAAGCUGGACCAAAGCCUGAAACUGAGUGCUUACACUGCAAAGGAAAUUGUCACUGGAAGCGGAAAUGCCCUGAAUAUUUGGUGGAUAAGAAGGAUGGCAAAGUGAACAAGGGUAUAUUUGAUAUACAGGUUAUUGAUGUGUGCUUUACUAGUGUUUAUAGUAGCCCCUGAGUAUUUGAUACUUGUUCGGUUGCUAAGAUUAGUAACUCGAAACAGGAGUUACAGAAUAAACAAAGACUAGUUGAAGGGGAAGUGACGAUGAGUGUUGGAAGUAGUUCCAAGAUUGAUAUAAUCAUCAUCGCACACUCCCUAUACUUUUGGGAUUAGUGUUAAACCUAAAUAAAUGUUAUUUGGCGUUUGCGUUGAGCAUGAAUAUGAUUUGAUCAUGUUUAUUGCAAUACGGUUAUUCAUUUAAAAUCAGAGAAUAAUUGUUGUUCUAUUUAAAUGAAUAAAACCUUCAAUGGUCAUACACCCAAUGAAAAUAGUUUGUUGGCUCUCGAUCGUAGUGAUGCACAUAUUCAUAAUAUUGAUGCCAAAAGAUGCAAAGUUAAUAAUGAUAGUGCAACUUAUUUGUGGCACUACCGUCUUGGUCAUAUCGGUGUAAAGCACAUGAAGAAACUCCAUAAAGAUGGAUUUUCGGAAUCACUUGGUUAUGAAUCAUUUGAUGCUUGCGAACCGUGCCUUUUGUGCAAGAUGACUAAAACUCCAUUCUCCGGAACAAUGGAACAAGCUACUGACUUAUUGGAAAUAAUACAUACCGAUGUAUGCGAUCCAAUGAGUGUUGAUGCUCGUGGCAAGUAUCGUUAUUUUCUGACCUUCACAAGAUGAUUUGAGCAGAUAUGGGUAUAUCUACUUGAUGAAACAUAAGUCUGAAAUAGUUGAAAUGUUCAAAGAAUUUCAGAAUGAAGUGGAAAAAUCAUCGUAACAAGAAAAUAAAGUUUCUGUGAUCUGAUCGCGGAGACGAAUAUUUGAGUUACGAGUUUGGUCUUCAAUUAAAACAAUGUGGAAUAGUUUCACAGCUCACGCCACCUGGAACACCACAACGUUAUGGUGUGUCCAAACAUCGUAACCGCACUUUAUUAGAUAUAGUGCGAUCUAUGAUGUCUCUUACUGAUUUACCACUAUUGUUUUUGGGUUAUGCAUUAGAGACAGCCGCAUUCACGUUAAAAGGGCACCAUAUAAAUCCGUUGAGAUGACACCAUAUGAACUGUGGUUUAGCAAGAAACCCAAGUUGUCGUUUCUUAAAGUUUGGGGCUGCGAUGCUUAUGUGAAAAAGUUUCAUCCUGAUAAGCUCGAACCCAAAUCGGAGAAGUGCGUCUUCAUAGAAUACCCAAAAGGAAAUUGUUGGGUACACCUUCUAUCACAGAUCCGAAGGCAAGAUAUUCGUUGCUAAAAAUGGAUCCUUUCUAGAGAAGGAGUUUCUCUCAAAAGAAGUGAGUGGAAGAAAAGUAGAACUUGAUGAGGUAACUGUACCUUCUCCCGAAUUGGAAAAUUGUUCAUCACUGAAAUCAGUUCCAGUGAUUUCUACACCAAUUAGUGAGGAAGCUAAUGAUGAUGAUCAUGAAACUUCAGAUCAAGUUACUACAGAGCCUCGUAGGUCUUCCAGAGUACGGUCUGCACCAGAGUGGUACGGUAAUCCUAUUCUGGAAGUCAUGUUACUAGACCAUGAUGAACCUACGAACUAUGAGGAAGCGAUGAUGAGCCCAGAUUCCGCAAAAUGGCUGGAGGCCAUGAAAUCUGAGAUAGGAUCCAUGUAUGAGAACAAAGUGUGGACUUUGGUGGACUUGCCCAAUGAUGGGCAAGCCACAGAAAAUAAAUGGAUCUUCAAGAGGAAGACGGACAUUGAUAGUAGUGUUACUAUCUACAAAGCUCGACUUGUCGCAAAAAGGUUUUUGACAAGUUCAAGGUGUUGACUACAAUGAGAUUUUCUCAACUGUAGUGAUGCUUAUGUCUGUCCGAAUCAUGUUGCCACAUUUUAUGAAAUCUGGCAAAUGGAUGUCAAAACUGCAUUCCUUAAUGGUUUUCUUAAAGAAGAGUUGUAUAUGAUGCAACCAGAAGGUUUUGUCAAUCCUAAAGGUACUAACAAAAUGUGCAAGCUCCAGCGAUCCAUCUAUGGACUGGUGCAAGCAUCUCAGAGUUGGAAUAUACGCUUUGAUAAGUUGAUCAAAGCAUAUAGUUUUGUACAGACUUACGGUGAAGCCUAUAUUUACAAGAAAGUGAGUGGGAGCACUACAGCAUUUCUGAUAAGUAUAUGUGAAUGACAUAUUGUUGAUCAGAAAUAAUGUAGAAUUAUUCUGCAAAGCAUAAAGGAGUGUUUGAAAGGAGUUCUUUAAAAUAAAGACCUCAGUAAAGCUACUUACAUAUUGAGCAUCAAGGUCUAUUGAGAUAGAUCAAGACGCUUGAUAAGAUUUUCAAUGAGUACAUACCUUGACAAGAUUUUGAAGUAGUUCAAAAUGGAACAGUCAAAGAAGGAGUUCUUGCCUGUGUUGCAAGGUGUGAAGUUGAGUAAGACUCAAGACCCGACCAUAGCAGAAAAUAGAAAGAGAAUGAAAAGUCAUUCCCUAUGCCUCAGUCAUAGGUUCUAUAAAGUAUGCUAUGCUAUGAACCAAACCUAUUGUAUACUCUGCCCUGGUUUGGCAAGGGAGUACAAUAGUGAUCUAGGAGUAGAUCACUGGACAUUGGUCAAAAUUAUCCUUAGUGGAAUAAGGAUAUGUUUCUCGAUUAUGGAGGUGACAAAAAGGUUCAUCGUAAAGGGUUACGUCGAUACAAGUUUUGGCACUGAUCCAGAUGACUUUAAGUCUUAAUCUAGAUACAUAUUGAAAGUGGGAGCAAUUAGCUAGAGUAGCUCCGUGCAGAGCAUUGUAGACAUAGAAUAUUUGCAAAAUACAUACGGCUCUGAAUGUGACAGACCCGCUGACUAAACUUCUCUCACAAGCAAAACAUGAUCAUACCUUAGUACUCUUUGGGUGUUAAUCACAUAGCGAUGUGAACUAGAUUAUUGACUCUAGUAAACCCUUUGGGUGUUGAUCACAUGACGAUGUGAACUACUGGUGUUAAUCACAUGGUGAUGUGAACUAUUGGUGUUAAAUCACAUGGUGAUGUGAACUAGAUUAUUGACUCUAGAGCAAGUGGGAGACUGAAGGAAAUAUGCCCUAGAGGCAAUAAUAAAGUUAUUAUUUAUUUCCUUAUUUCAUGAUAAAUGUUUAUUAUUCAUGCUAGAAUUGUAUUAACCGGAAACAUAAUACAUGUGUGAAUACAUAGACAAACAAAGUGUCACUAGUAUGCCUUUACUUGACUAGCUCGUUAAUUAAAGAUGGUUAUGUUUCCUAACCAUAGACAUGAGUUGUCAUUUGAUUAACGAGAUCACAUCAUUAGGAGAAUGAUGUGAUUGACAUGACCCAUUCCGUUAGCCUAGCACUGGAUCCUUUAGUAUGUUGCUAUUGCUUUCUUCAUGACUUAUACAUGUUCCUGUAACUAUGAGAUUAUGCAACUCCCGUUUACCGGAGGAACACUUUGGGUGCUACCAAACGUCACAACGUAACUGGGUGAUUAUAAAGGAGCACUACACGUGUCUCCAAAGGUACAUGUUGGGUUGGCGUAUUUCGAGAUUAGGUUUUGUCACUCCGAUUAUCGGAGAGGUAUCUCUGGGCCCUCUCGGUAAUGCACAUCACUUAAGCCUUGCAAGCAUUGUAACUAAUGAGUUAGUUGCGGGAUGAUGUAUUACGGAACAAGUAAAGAGACUUGCCGGUAACGAGAUUGAACUAGGUAUUGGGAUACCGACGAUCGAAUCUCGGGCAAGUAACAUACCGAUGACAAAGGGAACAAAGUAUGUUGUUAUGCGGUUUGACCGAUAAAGAUCUUCGUAGAAUAUGUAGGAGCCAAUAUGGGCAUCCAGGUUCCGCUAUUGGUUAUUGACCAAGAAUAGUUCUAGGUCAUGUCUACAUAGUUCUCGAACCCGUAGGGUCCGCACGCUUAAGGUUUCGAUGACAGUUAUAUUAUGAGUUUAUGAGUUUUGAUGUACCGAAGGAGUUCGGAGUCCCGGAUGAGAUCGGGGACAUGACGAGGAGUCUCGAAAUGGUCGAGACAUAAAGAUCGAUAUAUUGGACGACUAUAUUCGGAGUUCGGAAAGGUUCCGAGUGAUUCGGGUAUUUUUCGGAGUACCGGAGAGUUACGAGAAUUCGCCGGGGAGAAGCAUUGGGCCUUAUUGGGCCAUACGGGAAAGAGAGAGGGGCUGCCUAGGGCAGGCCGCGCGCCCCCCAUGGCCUAGUCCGAAUUGGACUAGGGGGAUGGGCCGCACCCCCUCCUUCCUUCCCUUCUCUCUUCCCCUUCCUUGUCUCCUACUCCUACUACUUGGAAGGACUCCUAGUUGGACUAGGAAAGGGGGAAUCCUACUCCCGGUGGGAGUAGGACUCCCCUAGGGCGCGCCAUAGAGAGGGCCGGCCCUCCCCUCCUCCACUCCUCAUGCAUCACCAUGAUCUUGCGUGUGCGUAGGAAUUUUUUGAAAUUACUACAUUCCCCAACAACCUAUGCAUAGGGGUUGGCACACAUUCUUGACUCUCCGAUAGGAACUUUGGGGCACUCUUUGAAGUACUUUGUGUUGGUUGGAUGAAUCUGAGAUUGUGUGAUGCAUAUCGUAUAAUCAUGCCCACGGAUACUUGGGGUGACAAUGGAGUAUCUAGGUGACAUUAGGGUUUUGGUUGAUUUGUAUCUUAAGGUGUUAUUCUAGUACAAACUCUUUUAUAGAUUUAUCCAAAAGAAUAACUUUGAGGUGGUUUCGUACCCUACCAUAAUCUCUACAUUUGUUCUCCGCUAUUAGUGGCUUUGGAGUGACUCUUUGUUGCAUGUUGAGGGCUUGUUAUAUGAUCUAUCUAUGUUAUUAUUGUUGAGAGAACUUGCACUAGUGAAAGUAUGAACCCUAGGCCUUGUUUCCUACCAUUGCAAUACCAUAUACGCCCACUUUUACCACUUGUUACCUUGCUGUUUUUAUAUUUUCAUUUUACAAAAACCUAUAUCUACUAUCUAUUUUGCACUUGUAUCACCAUCUCUUCGCCAAACUAGUGCACCUAUACAAUUUACCAUUGUAUUGAGUGUGUUGGGGACACAAGAGACUUUUUGUUAUUUGGUUGCAGGGUUGUUUGGGAGAGACCAUCUUUAUCCUACGCCUCCCACGGAUUGAUAAACCUUAGGUCAUCCACUUGAGGUAAAUUUUCUACUGUCCUACAAACAUGUGCACUUGCAGGCCCAACAACGUCUACAAGAAGAAGGUUGUGUAGUAGACAUCAAGCUCUUUUCUGGCGCCGUUGCCGGGGAGGUUAGCGCUUGAAGGUAUAUCUUUAGAUCUUGGAAUCGAAUCUUUUUGUUUCUUGUUUUAGCAAUAGUUUAUUUUAUAAAAGAAAAUUACAAAAAAAUGGAGUUAAGUUUGUCUCAAACGCUUCGUCUUUUUAAUAUCUUUCGUGAAGAUGAUGGGUAGGAAAAUUGUGCUCAAGUGCUAGAAGAAGAAUUACAUAGAAUGCUUGGCAUGAAAUAUGUGAAUGAUGAGCAUGAUUGCAAUGUUGUUAGUAUGAAUUCCUUGAGUAUCCAUGAUGCUAAUGAUAUGCAAAGCCACAAGCUUGGGGAAGCUAUGUUUGAUGAAGAUGAUAUUUUUUGUCCCCCAAUCUUUGAUGAGCAAAUUUACUAUGAUGAAAGCAUGCCUCCUAUCUAUGAUGAUUAUUGUGAUGACACGUAUGCUUUAAAGAAUAAUGAUAACCAUGAAACUUGUCAUCUUGAUCUUAACUUUCAAUCAUAUGAUAGUUAUUUUGUUGAGUUUGCUCCCACUACUAUUCAUGAGAAGAAUUUUGCUUAUGAAGAGAGUAGUAAAUUUUCUAUGCUAGUAGAUCAUGAAAAAAAAUGCUUUAGGUGCUGGUUAUAUUGUUGAAUUUAUUCAUGAUGCUACUGAAAAUUAUUAUGAGGGAGGAACAUAUGCUUGUAGGAAUUGCAAUAAUAUCAAGUUUCCUCUCUAUGUGCUUAAAAUUUUGAAGCUAUGCUUGUUUUACCUUCCUAUGCUAGUUGAUUAUUGUUCCCAUAAGUUGUUUGCUCACAAAAUCCCUAUGCAUAGGAAGUGGGUUAGACUUAAAUGUGCUAGUCAUAUGCUUCAUGACGCUCCCGUUAUGUUUCAAUUCUUAUCUUUUAUGUGAGCAUCAUUGCCAUCAUCAUGCCUAGCUAGAAAGGCAUUAAAGAAAAGUGCUUGUUGGGAGACAACCCAAUAUUUAUCCUUACUGUUUUUGUGUGUCAACAUGAUUAUGCUACUGUAGUAAUCAUGUUUUAUAGCUUUUGUUUCAAUAAAGUGCUAAGUAAGACCUUUAGGAUAGCUUACGGUGAUAGUUGUGUUGAUCCUGCUGAAAAUCAGAAACUUUUGCACCCAGUAAAUUAGUUUUGUUAAUUCACAAAAACGUGCUUAUGAUCUGAUUCUUUUUGCUCUGGAUUGGUACAUGACUUUCUUAGGACUUCCUAAUUUGGUAGGAGUUUUGGAGUUCCGGAAGUAUAGGUUUGAUACAGAUUACUAUAGACUGUUCUGUUUUUGACAGAUUCUGUUUUCUAUGUGUUGUUUGCUUAUUUUGAUGAAUCUAUGAGUAGUAUCGUAGUGUAUGAAUCAUAGAUAAGUUGGAGUACAGUAGAUAUUACACCAAUAUGAAUUUAGAAUGAGUUCAUUACAGUACCUAAGUGGUUGUUUUAUUUUCUUAUACUAACGGAGCUUACGAGUUUUCUGUUGAGUUUUGUGUUGUGGAGUUUUCAAGUUUUGGGUAAAGAUUCGAUGGACUAUGGAAUAAGGAGUGGUAAGAGCCUAAGCUUGGGGAUUCCCAAGGCACCCCAAGGCAAUAUUCAAGGACAACCAAGAGCCUAAGCUUGGGGAUGCCCCGGAAGGCAUCCCCUCUUUCGUCUUCGUUCAUCGGUAACUUUACUUGGAGCUAUAUUUUUAUUCACCACAUGAUAUGUGUUUUGCUUGGAGUGUCAUUUUCUCUUGUUAUUAUUUGCUUUCUGUUACUUAGAUUAAUGUUUUGCAUCUUUAGUUUCAAUAAAGAAGUCAAGGAUAGCCUUUGCCAUGCUUAUUUUGCUAGUAUACAUGUUGCUGUUUGAAAAACAGAAAGUUUACCGCUGUUGCAAAAAUUCCCUAGAAAAGUCAGAGAGUGGUAUAAUGUGGAAUAUUUUUUCAUAUUGAGAUCUGAUAAAUUUAUUACAGUGGGAAUUUUAGUUCAUAAUUUUUGGAGUCAGGGAAGUAUUGAUACUCUUGCAUUCUUUACAGACUGUACUGUUUUGGCAGAUUGCUGUUAUGGUUGCAUUGUUUGCAUAUGUUUGCUUGAUUAAUUAUUCUAUUUGAGGAUAGGAGUAUUAAAUAUGAAGAGGCAUUUAGUAUGCAAUGUUGAAUAAUAAUUUUUAUGAUUUUUUACAGUAGAAAAUGAUAAGGUUUUGCAUUGGUUUAUACUAACCUAUCUCAUGAGUUCUUGUUGAGUUUGUUGUGAAUGAAGCUUUUGAGAAAAAGAAGAAACCAUGAUAUGAGAGGAAUUAAGGAGACACAAAAGUUAAAGCUUGGGGAUGCCCAAGGCACCCCAAGAUAAUAUUUCAAGAAGUCUCAAGCAUCUAAGCUUGGGGAUGCCCCAGUAGGCAUCCCACCUUUUUUCUUCAACAACUAUCGGUUAGUAUCGGUUGAGCCUAAGUUUUUGCUUCUUCACAUGAGUUGUGCUAUCCUUGCAAUAUAGUAUUCUUUAGCUUUGCUUGCUGUUUGAAUAAAGUGCCAAGAUCUGAAAUUAUUAAUUGAGAGAGUCUUCACAUAGUUGCAUAAUUAUUCGACUACUCAUUGAUCUUCACUUAUAUCUUUCGGAGUAGUUUGUUUUUUGCUCUAGUACUUCACUUAGAUAUUUUAGAGCAUGGUGGUGGAUUUGUUUUGAAGAAACUAUUGAUCUCUCAUGCUUCACUUAGAUCAUUUUGAGAGUCGUUAAUAGCACGGUAAUUUGCUUAAUGUUAAUAUACUUGGUAUUCAAGAUAUGUGAAACUUUCUUUUGAGUGAGUUGAAUACUAAGAUAAGUUUGAUGCUUGAUAAUUGUUUUGAGAUAUGGAGGUGAUAAUAUCAAAGUUGUGCUAGUUGAGUAAUUGUGAAUAUGAGAAAUGCUUGUGUUGAAGUUUGCAAGUCCCGUAGCAUGCACGUAUGGUUAAAGUUGUGUGACAAAUUUGAAACAUGAAGUGUACCUGGCUUGUGCAUCCUUAUGAGUGGCGGUCGGGGACGAGCGAUGGUCUUUUCCUACCAAUCUAUCCCCCUAGGAGCAUGCGCGUAGUACUUGGUUUUUGAUGACUUCUAAAUUUUUGCAAUAAGUAUAUGAGUUCUUUUGACUAAUGUUGAGUCCAUGGAUUAUACGCACUCUCACCUUUCCGCCUUUGCUAGCCUCUUCGGUACCGUGCAUUGCCCUUUCUCACCUUGAGAGUUGGUGCAAACUUCGCCGGUGCAUCCAAACCCCGUGAUACGAUACGCUCUAUCACACAUAAACCUCCCUAUAUCUUCCUCAAAAUAGCCACCAUACCUACCUAUUAUGGCAUUUCCAUAGCCAUUCCGAGAUAUAUUGCCAUGCAACUUCCAUCAUCAUCAUCAUGACAUAAAUUACUAUUGUCAUAUUGCCAUUCCAUGAUCAUGUAGUUGACAUCGUAUUUGUGGCAAAGCCACCAUGCAUUAUUUUUCAUACAUGUCACUCUUGAUUCAUUGCACCAUCCCGGUACACUGCCGGAGGCAUUCAUAUAGAGUCAUAUCUUGUUCUAAGUUUCGAGUUGUAAUCCUUAUGUUGUAAUCAACAGAAGUGUGAUGAUCAUCAUUAUUAGAGCAUUGCCCACCCCAAAAAAAGGGAGAAAGGCCCCCCAAAAAAAGAAAGCCCCCCCCCCAAAAAGAGAAAAGGCCAAAAGAAAAAAAGAAAGGCCCCAAAAAAUUGAAAAGGGCAAUGCUACUAUCUCUUUUUCCACACUUGUGCUUCAAAGUAGCACCUUGUUCUUCAUAUAGUGAGUCUCAUAUAUUGUGCUUCAAAGUAGCGCCUUGUUCUUCAUGUAGUGAGUCUCAUAAGUUGUAUUUUUAUACUAGUGGGAAUUUUUCAUUAUAGAACUUUCCUUGUAUGUUCCUAUGAUGGGCUUCCUCAAUUGCCCUAGGUCUUCGUGAGCAAGCAAGUUGGAUGCACACCCACUAGUUUUCUUUUGUCGAGCAUUCAUAGCUCUAGUGCAUCCGUUGCAUGGCAAUCCCUACUCCUCAUGUUGACAUCAAUUAAUGGGCAUCUCCAUAGCCCGUUGAUUAUCCUCGUCAAUGUGAGACUUUCUCCUUUUUUGUCUUCUCCACACAAUCCCCAUCAUCAUAUUCUAUUCCACCCAUAGUGCUAUAUCCAUGGCUCACGCUCAUGUAUUGCGUGAAGGUUGAAAAAGUUUGAGAUUAUUUAAGUAUGAAACAAUUGCUUGGCUUGUCAUCGGGGGUAUAGAAGUUGGGAACAUCUUUGUGUGACGAAAAUGAAGCAUAGCCUAACUAUAUGAUUUUGUAGGGAUGAACCUUCUUUUGCCAUGCUAUUUUGAGAAGACAUGAUUACUUUUAUUAGUAUGCUUGAAGUAUUAUUAUUUUUGUGUCAAUAUGAACUUUUGUCUUGAAUCUUUCGGAUCUGAAUAUUCAUAUCACAAUUAAGAAUACUUACAUUGAAAUUAUGCCAAAGUAUCACUCCGCAUAAAAAAUUAUUUUUUAUCAUUUACCUACUCGAGGACGAGCAGGAAUUAAGCUUGGGGAUGCUUGAUACGUCUCCAAUGUACCUAUAAUUUUUUAUUGCUCCAUGCUACUUUAUCUUCUGUUUUGGGAAAUAUUGGGCUUUAUUAUCCACUUUUAUAUUAUUUUUGGGACUAACCUAUUAACCGGAGGCCCAGCCCAGAUUUGCUGUUUUAUGCCUAUUUCAGUGUUUCGAGCAAAAGGAAUAUCAGACGGAGUCAAAACGGAACGAAAUCAACUGGAGAAGUUACUUUUGGAAGGAAAGCAACCCAGGGAACUUGGAGUGCACGUCAGGGGAGAUACGGGCUGCCCAUGAGGGUGGGGGCGCGCCCACCCCCCGGGCGCGCCCCCUGCCUCGUGGGCCCCCCGUAGCUCCUCCGACAUACCCCCUGCACCCAUAUAUACUCUUGUACCCUAAAACUUCCAGAACAGAAGAUAGAUCGGGAGUUCCGCCGCCGCAAGCCUCUGUAGCCACCAAAAUCCUCUCGGGAGCCCAUUCCGGCACCCUGCCGGAGGGGGAUCCCAUCACCGAUGGCCGUCUUCAUCAUCCCGGCGCUAUCCAUGACGAGGAGGGAGUAGUUCACCCUCGAGGCUGAGGGUAUGUACCAGUAGCUAUGUGUUUGAUCUCUCUCUCUCGUGUUCUCUCUCGUGUUCCAUCUAUGGCACGAUCUUGAUGUAUCCCGAGCUUUGCUAUUAUAGUUGGAUCUUAUGAUGUUUCUCCCCCUCUACUCUCUUGUGAUGAAUUGAGUUUCCCCUUUGAAGUUAUCUUAUCGGAUUGAGUCUUUUAUGAGAACACUUGAUGUAUGUCUUGCCGUGAUUAUCUGUGGUGACAAUGGGAUAUCAUGUGCCACUUGAUGUAUGUUUUGGUGAUCAACUUGCGGGUUUCGUGACAUUGGGAACCUAUGCAUAGGGGUUGGCACACGUUCUUGACUCUCCGAUAGAAACUUUGGGGCACUCUUUGAAGUACUUUGUGUUGGUUGGAUGAAUUUGAGAUUGUGUGAUGCAUAUCGUAUAAUCAUGCCCACGGAUACUUGGGGUGACAAUGGAGUAUCUAGGUGACAUUAGGGUUUUGGUUGAUUUGUAUCUUAAGGUGUUAUUCUAGUACGAACUCUUUUAUAGAUUUAUCCAAAAGAAUAACUUUGAGGUGGUUUCGUACCCUACCAUAAUCUCUACAUUUGUUCUCCGCUAUUAGUGGCUUUGGAGUGACUCUUUGUUGCAUGUUGAGGGCUUGUUAUAUGAUCUAUCUAUGUUAUUAUUGUUGAGAGAACUUGCACUAGUGAAAGUAUGAACCCUAGGCCUUGUUUCCUACCAUUGCAAUACCAUAUACGCCCACUUUUACCACUUGUUACCUUGCUGUUUUUAUAUUUUCAUUUUACAAAAACCUAUAUCUACUAUCUAUUUUGCACUUGUAUCACCAUCUCUUCGCCGAACUAGUGCACCUAUACAAUUUACCAUUGUAUUGGAUGUGUUGGGGACACAAGAGACUUUUUGUUAUUUGGUUGCAGGGUUGUUUGAGAGAGACCAUCUUCAUCCUACGCCUCCCACAGAUUGAUAAACCUUAGGUCAUCCACUUGAGGGAAAUUUGCUACUGUCCUACAAACCUGUGCACUUGCAGGCCCAACAACGUCUAUAAGAAGAAGGUUGUGUAGUAGACAUCAGGCACACGUCCGGUCGACCUCGUUCCUCCGGAGCUAGGGGUGGUGAGCACCCAUAUCACAUAAGUCAUGGUAACAAUGAUCUCCUAUUUUAACAGAAACAACAGGCAUGCCAACAACAGGUGUAUGUUUAUUUUUAGUAUCGGGUCUAGCAAUUCGAGCAGCUUCAUCACAGAAGUAAAUAACAUGCCCAUCAAUAUUAUCGACCAAGAUAUCUUUAACCAUAACAAUACUAGGUUCAACUUUAAUUUGCUCAGGAGGUGUAAGUGUUCUAGCAUUACUCUUACGAACCACAGUUGAAACUUUAGCAUAAUCCUUUAUUCUAACAGGGAAAGGUGGUUUCUCAAUAUUAGCAGUAGGAACAAUAGGAUCAACAUUAUAAGCAAUAGUCUUUUCUUCAACUUUAAUAGGUUCUACUACUUUCACUUUAAUGGGAGGUUGAUAUUUAAACCACUUAUCCUUAGGGAGAUCAACAUAAGUAGCAAAUGAUUCACAAAAAGAAGCUACUAUCUCAGAGUCAAGUCCAUACUUAGUGCUAAAUUCACGAAAAGCAUUAGUAUCCAUAAAAGAUUUAACACAAUCAAACUUAGGGGUUAUACCUGACUCCUUACCUUCGUCGAGUUCCCAAUCUUCAGCGUUGCGUUUAAUUCUUUCCAAUAAAUCCCAUCUGAAUUCAAUAGUCUUCAUCAUAAAAGAACCAGUACAAGAAGUAUCGAGCAUGGAGCGAUCAUUAAGAGAAAGCCGAGCAUAAAAUUUUUAAAUAUAAUUUCUCUUGAGAGCUCAUGAUUGGGGCAUGAAUAUAACAUUGACUUAAGCCUCCCCCAAGCUUGAGCGAUACUUUCUCCUUCACGAGGCCAUAAAUUAUAUAUCUACGAUCACGAUGACCAGAUCCAUAGGAUAGAUCUUCUGAUGAAAUUCCAAUUUCAAUCGGUUGUAGUUCCAUGAUCCAAUAUCAUCACAUAGCCUAAACCAUGUCAAUGCAUUUCCCUUCAAAGAUAAAGGUAAGACCUUCUUCUUGACAACAUCCUCGGGCAUACCUGCAAGCUUAAAAAAUCCACAAACUUCAUCCACAUAGAUUUGGUGCAUAUCGGGAUAUAAUGUUCCAUCUCCUGUAUAGGGAUUAGCUAGCAGUUUGUCUAUUAUACUCGAAGGAAUUUCAAAGUAAAUAUUUUUAGUAAGUUCGGUAGAUUGAGGAGAAACUCUUUGCUCUUCUGGUCAGGGUGAAUAUACCCCGAACAAGCCCCUCAAAGGAUUAUUUUCCAUAGUAACAAGUGACAGUAAAUUUCAGCACACUACACAAAUGUUUCCUUACCAAAUUCCACCUACCAAAGGCGCUUCACUCUCCGACAACGGUGCCAGAAAAUAGUCUUGAUGACCCACAAGUAUAGGGGAUCUAUCUUAGUACUUUUGAUAAGUAAGAGUGUCGAACCCAACAAGGAGCAGAAGGAAAUAACAAGCGGUUUUCAGUAAGGUAUUCUCUGCAAGCACUGAAAUUAUCGGUGACAGAUAGUUUUGUGAUAAGGCAAUUCCAAGUAAAAAAGUAGCAAGGUGCAGCAAGGUGGCCCAAUACUUUUUGUAGCAAAGGAAAAGCCUGGAUAAACUCUUAUAUAAAGCAAAGCGCUCCCGAGGACACAUGGGAAUUUCUGUCAAGCUAGUUUUCAUCAUGCUCAUAUGAUUCACGUUUGUUACUUUGAUAAUUUGAUAUGUGGGUGGACCGGUGCUUGGGUAUUGCCCUUCCUUGGACAAGCAUCCCACUUAUGAUUAACCCCUCUCGCAAGCAUCCGCAACUACGAAAGAAGAAUUAAGGUAAACCUAACCAUAGCAUGAAACAUAUGGAUCCAAAUCAGCCCCCUACGAAGCAACGCAUAAACUAGGGUUUAAGCUUCUAUCACUCUAGCAACCCAUCAUCUACUUAUUACUUCCCAAUGCCUUCCCCUAGGCCCAAACAAUGGUGAGGUGUCAUCUAGUCGACGUUCACAUAACACCACUAGAGGAGAGAAAACAUACAUCUCAUCAAAAUAUCAAAUGAAUACCAAAUUCACAUGAUUACUUAUAACAAGACUUCUCCCAUGUCCUCAAGAACAAACGUAACUACUCACAUAUCAUAUUCAUGUUCAUAAUCAUAGGGGUAUUAAUAUGCGUUAAGGAUCUGAACAUAUGAUCUUCCACCGAAUAAACCAACUAGCAUCAACUACAAGGAGUAAUCAACACUACUAGCAACCUACAAGUACCAAUCCGAGGUUUUGAGACAAUGAUCAGAUACAAGAGAUGAAGUAGGGUUUGAGAGGAGAUGGUGCUGGUGAAGAUGUUGAUGGAGAUUGACCCCUCUCGAUGAGUGGAUCGAUGGUGAUGACGAUGGUGAUGAUUUCCCCCUCCCGGAGGGAUGUUUCCCCGGCAGAACAGCUUCGCUGGAGCCCUAGAUUGGUCCUGCCCAGGUUCCGCCUCGAGACAUCGGCGUUUCAUCCCGAAAGCUUCCUUCUAAUUUUUUCCAGGGCAAAAGACACUAUAUAGCAGAAGAUGGGCAUCGGGGGCCUGCCAGGUGGCCCGCGAGGCAGGGGCGCGCCCUCCACCCUCGUGGCUGGUGGGUGGCCCCCCUCGGGUGCUUUCCUCGCCCAAUAUUUUUAAUAUAUUCCAAAACUGACUUUCGUGGAGUUUUAGGACUUUUGGUGUUGUGCACAAUGUAGGGUAAUGCAGCAGAAAACAAAAAAAUUCCGACCUACACACCAGCCCAGGACCACUAUGGAGACUGCAUACAUGGUUUGAUCUUUUUCGUUACCGACUCAUAGCGCAGUGGAAGUAGAGUCGAUGACGAACGGCGAUGCAGAUCCCCGCAGCUAGGAUUUACAACCUCCCAACCGCGAGGAUGUAUACCAUCAUCCGCCCCACGGACAGCCCUCCGGGAGGCGGUCGGACAGUCCCUCGAACGGUGUCGCCGACAGCCCUUCGGGAGGACCCUCAAAACUCGGACGGUCACUUGGACAGCCCUUCGGGAGGAUUCAAAGAACUCGGACCGUCACUUGGACAGCCCUUCGGGGGGCACUCUCAAAAUAGCCCCUCGGGUAAAAGGAUCAAAACUACGACCUCUCUACGGGGUUGCACACAUACGGUGUCAUCUAUCCGGCAGGGCUUCGCCGUCCAGAACUAGUUCCCACCGGAACCCAGACAGCCUUUCGGCUCUACGAAAUUCUUUUUGUGGGAGGGAGAGAAGAAGCCAGAUCAUGCAUGGCACUUGUAUGUGAGAAGGGAUGAUGGUUUGGGCAGCCCCUCACCUCCUAUUUAUAGGAAAACCAAGGGGUAGUGUGCCUCCACAAAUACCCAAAGUGCCCAUGCUUUAUGUCAUACAUAAGGGCAAAAUGGGGAGGCAAGUGGAGCACCAAAUGGUGGAAGGAAGCCUCAUGGGGCCCCCCAAUAGCACCAACAAAAUUGGCAGCCUCUUGGGUGGCCCCACCACCUUCCUAUCCAUCCAUGUCAUCCCAAAAGAUCUUGGGACAAAGCCCAAAAUAAUGGCUUUCCAUAAAAUUUCCCAAAAAGCACUUUCACUAUUCAUGACGACAUUUUUCUGUGUCUGUUCGAACUGAAAAUAUUCAUGUGGGCUUACAAUGUUUCCAGUACCCACCAUAAUGAUUUUCAACGCAUUCUGGAACAAUUCCAGUUUAGUAAUUUUCAUCUGCAAAAAGCAUCUCAAGUGGUUCCGGCAGCUCCGGAGCAUAUCCGAUUAUUAUCCCGGAAAAUUCCAGAAAGCUUCCAGAAUGAUUCUGGCACCCUCCAAGAAUUAUCAGGCAUGUGCUGAAACCAAUUUGACUUAAUGGUAUCCCCUGAAACAACUUUUCAAUUUCACCGAAACUCAUCCGAUGACCUCUCUCUGCGGAACCUUUUCCGGUGUCCGAAACUUUUCCGGUGUCCGAAACUUUUUCGGUGAUUUUCUCUCAGACUCCUUGUCUAGUAUUCAACAGAUAGAUGACCCUUAAGCGUGUGACCCUACAGGUUCGGUGAAGUAUAGACAUGACCAGAACCCUUUCCGAUCAAUGAUCAACAUCGGAGCCGUGGACACCCAUAUUGACCCUGCUACGUCUCGAGCUUGCGUUGGUUUUCCCCGAAGAGGAGAGGAUGAUGCAGCACAGUAGCGUAAGUAUUUCCCUCAGUUUUUGAGAACCAAGGUAUCAAUCUAGUAGGAGGUCACAUGCAAGUCCCUCGUACCUGCACAACACGAUAGCAACUCGCAACCAACGCUUAGGGGUUGUCAAUCCUUUCACGGUCACUUACGAGAGUGAGAUCUGAUAGAGAUAAUAUUUUUGGUAUUUUUGAUAGAUAGAUGCAAAGUAAAAAGUAAAGGCAAAGUAAAAACAAAGCAAAUAAAUAAAGUGAUAUAGAUUUAUAUGAUGAGAAUAGACCCGGGGGCCAUAGGUUUCACUAGUGGCUUCUCUCAAUAGCAUAAGUAUUCUAUGGUGGGUGAACAAAUUACUAUUGAGCAAUUGACAGAAUUGAGCAUAGUUAUGAGUAUAUCUAGGCAAUGAUCAUGUAUAUAGGCAUCACGUCCGUGACAAGUAGAUCGAAACGAUUCUGCAUCUACUAGUAUUACUCCACUCAUCGACCGCUAUCCAGCAUGCAUCUAGAGUAUUAAGUUAAAAACAGAGUAACGCCUUAAGCAAGAUGACAUGAUGUAGAGGAAUAAAUUCAUGCAAUAUGAUAAAUACCCCAUCUUGUUAUCCUCGAUGGCAACAAUACAAUACGUGCCUUGCAACUCUUUCUGUCACUGAGUAAGGACACCGCAAGAUUGAACCCAAAGCCAUGCACUUCUCCCAUUGCAAGAACUACCAAUCUAGUUGGCCAAACCAAACGGAUAAUUCGAAGAGACUUGCAAAGAUAACUCAAUCAUACAUAAAAGAAUUCAGAGAAGAAUCAAAUAUUUUCCAUAGAUAAGUUGGAUCAUAAACCCACAAUUCAUCGGUCUCAACAAACACACCGCAAAAAGAAGAUUACAUCGAAUAGAUCUCCACGAGAGAGGGGGAGAACAUUGUAUUGAGAUCCAAAAAGAGAGAAGAAGCCAUCUAGCUACUAGCUAUGGACCCGAAGGUCUGAAGUAAACUACUCACACUUCAUCGGAGGGGCUAUGGUGAUGAUGUAGAAGCCCUCCGUGGUGGAUGCCCCCUCCGGCGGAGCUCCGAAACAGGCCCCAAAAUGGGAUCUCGUGGAUACAGAAGGUUGUGGCAGUGGAAUUAGGUUUUUUGGCUCCUGUUCUGAUCAUACGGGGAUACGUAGGUAUAUAUAGGAGGAAGGAGUACGUCGGUGGAGCUCCGAGAGGCCCACGAGGUAGGGGGCGCUCCCAGGGGGGCGCGUCCUCCACCCUCGUGACCUCCUUGGAAGCUUCUUGGAGUAGGGUCCAAGUCUCCUGGAUCACGUUCGGUGAGAAAAUCACGUUCCCAAAGGUUUCAUUCCGUUUGGACUCCGUUUGAUAUUCCGUUUCUUCGAAAUACUGAAAUAGGCAAAAAACAGCAAUUCUGGACUGGGCCUCCGGUUAAUAGGUUAGUCCCAAAAAUAAUAUAAAAGUGGAAAAUAAAGCCCAAUAUAGUCCAAAAUAGUAGAUAAAGUAGCAUGGAGCAAUCAAAAAUUAUAGAUACGUUGGACACGUAUCAAGCAUCCCCAAGCUUAAUUCCUGCUCGUCCUCGAGUAGGUAAAUGAUAAAAAAGAAUUUUUGAUGCGGAGUGAUACUUUGGCAUAAUUUCAAUGUAAAUCUUCUUAAUCAUGGUAUGAAUAUUCAGAUCCAAAAGAUUCAAGACAAAAGUUCAUAUUGGCACAAAAAUAAUAAUACUUCAAGCAUACUAAUCAAAGUAAUCAUGUCUUCUCAAAAUAACAUGGCAAAAGAAAGUUUAUCCCUACAAAAAUCAUAUAGUUAGGCUAUGCUUCAUUUUCGUCACACAAAGAUGUUCCCAACUUCUAUACCCCCGAUGACAAGCCAAGCAAUUGUUUCAUACUUAAAUAAUCUCAAACUUUUUCAACCUUCGCGCAAUACAUGAGCGUGAGCCAUGGAUAUAGCACUAUGGUGGAAUAGAAUAUGAUGAUGGGGAUUGUGUGGAGAAGACAAAAAAGGAGAAAGUCUCACAUCAACUAGGCGUAUCAAUGGGCUAUGGAGAUGCCCAUCAAUAGAUAUCGAUGUGAGCAAGUAGGGAUUGCCAUGCAACGGAUCCACUAGAGCUAUGAAUGCUCAACAAAAGAAAACUAGUGGGUGUGCAUCCAACUUGCUUGCUCAUGAAGACCUAGGGCAUUUGAGGAAGCCCAUCGUAGGAAUAUACAAGCCAAGUUCUAUAAUGAAAAAUUCCCACUAGUAUAAACAAGACAACUUAUGAGACUCACUAUAUGAAAAACAUGGUGCUACUUUGAAGCACAAUAUAUGAGAGUCACUACAUGAAGAACAAGGUGCUACUUUGAAGCACAAGUGUGGAAAAAGAGAUAGUAGCAUUGCCUUUUUUUAUUUUUUUAUUUUUUUGGGCCUUCUUUUUUUAUUAUUAUUAUUUUGGCCUUUCUCUUUUUUUGGGCAAUGCUCUAAUAAUGAUGAUCAUCACACUUCUAUUGAUUACAGCAUAAGGAUUACAACUCGAAACUAGGACAAGAUAUGACUCUAUAUGAAUGCCUCUGGCGGUGUAUCGGGAUGGUGCAAUGAAUCAACAGUGACAUGUAUGGAAAAUAAUGCAUGGUGGCUUUGCCACAAAUACGAUGUCAACUACAAGAUCAUGCGAUGGCAAUAUGACAAAAGUAAUGCAUGUCACGAUGAUGAUGGUGGAAGUUGCAUGGCAAUAUAUCUCGGAAGGCUAUGGAAAUGCCAUGAUAGGUAGGUAUGGUGGCUGUUUUGAGGAAGAUAAAAGGAGGUUUAUGUGUGAUAGAGCGUAUCGUAUCCCGGGGUUUGGAUGCACCGGCGAAGUUUGCGCCAACUCUCAAGGUGAGAAAGGGCAAUACACGGUACCGAAGAGGCUAGCAAUGGCGGAAAGGUGAGAGUGCGUAUAAUCCAUGGACUCAACAUUAGUCAAAAGAACUCAUAUACUUGUUGCAAAAAUUUAGAAGUCAUCAAAAAUCAAGUACUACGCGCAUGCUCCUAGGGGGAUAGAUUGGUAGGAAAAGACCAUCGCUCGUCCCCGACCGCCACUCAUAAGGAUGCACAAGCCAGGUACACUUCAUGUUUCAAAUUUGUCACACAACUUUAACCAUACGUGCAUGCUACGGGAUUUGCUAACUUCAACACAAGUAUUUCUCAAAUUCAUAAUCACCCAACUAGCACGACUUUGAUAUUAUCACCUCCAUAUCUCAAAACAAUUAUCAAGCAUCAAACUUAUCUUAGUAUUCAACGCACUCAAAAGAAAGUUUCACAUAUCUUGAACACCAAGUAUAUUAACAUUAAGCAAAUUACCAUGCUAUUAAAGACUCUCAAAAUAAUCUAAGUGAAGAAUGAGAGAUCAAGUUUCUUUAAAACAAAUCUACCACCGUGCUCUAAAAGAUCUAAGUGAAGCACUAGAGCAAAAAAAUUAUCAUGCUCAAAAGAUAUAAGUGAAGCACUAUGAGCAAAACUAUCAAGCUCAAAAGAUAUAAGUGAAGCACAUAGAGUAUUCUAACAAAUUCUAAAUCAUGUAUGGCUCUCUCAAAAGGUGUGUACAGCAAGGAUGAUUGUGGUAGACUAACGAGCAAAGACACAAAUAAUACAAGACGCUCCGAGCAAAACACAUAUCAUGUUGGUGAAUAAAAAUAUAGCUCCAAGUAAAUUACCGAUGGAAGUGGACGAAAGAGGGGAUGCCUUCCGGGGAAUCCCCAAGAUUUGACUUUUUGGUGUACUUGGAUUAUCUUGGGGGUUCCAUGGGCAUCCCCAAGCUUAGGCUCUUGCCACUCCUUGUUCCAUAAUCCAUCAAAAGAAUUCACCCAAAACUUGAAAACUUCACAACACAAAACUCAACAGAAAUCUCGUGAGCUCCGUUAGAGAAAGAAAACAAAAGACUACUUCAAGGUACUAUAAUGAACUCAUUAUUUAUUUAUAUUGGUGUUAAACCUACUGUAUUCCAACUUAUCUAUGGUUUAUAAACUAAUUUACUAGCCAUAGAUUCAUCAAAAUAAGCAAAGAACACACGAAAAACAGAAUCUGUCAAAAACAGAACAGUCUGUAGUAAUCUGUAACUAACGCAAACUUAUGGAACUCUAAUAAUUCUACCAAAAUAGUAAGUCCUGUAAAAUUUGUUUAUUGAUCAGCAGCAAAAAGAAUCAACGCAAAAUCACGUUCCUGUGAUUUAUCAUAACUAAAGUCGUGCGCGCAAAGUUUCUGUUUUUCAGCAGAAUCAAAUCAACUAUCAUCGUAGGUUAUCCUAUAGGUCUUACUUGGCACAAACACUAAUUAAAACAUAAAACCACAUCCAAACAGAAGGUAGAUGGAUUAUUUAUUCCUAAACAGAACCAAAAACAAAAAACACAAAAUAAAAUUGGGUUGCCUCCCAACAAGCGCUAUCGUUUAACGCCCCUAGCUAGGCAUUGAGAUUUCAAUGAUGCUCACAUGAAAGACAAGAAUUGAAGCACAAAGAGAGCAUCAUAAAACAUGUGACAAACACACUUAAGUCUAACAUACUUCCUAUGCAUAGGCAUCUUGUAAGCAAACAAAAUAUCAAGGCAAGCAAAAACUAGCAUAUGCAAGGAAGAACAAAGAGAUGAUAGCAAUCUCAACAUGAAGAGAG
rnacentral:lncRNA from 1 species